UUACAACUUACGAAAGUACCUCCGAAUCUAAAAAUUGGGCAUCGGAACCAAUCAAAUCCAUCGAUUCUUCUGCUAUGGAUAGUACGUCAUUUCCCGCACACACGUUUCCCGGCUCGGAGAGUGAUUUCCUCGAACGCGAUGGCUGCCCUCGCCUCAUUUUCCCCGAUUAUGGCCCGUGCAUCUGCUUUUAGCGGCAGAAAGUUGUCGGGCGCUGCUACGAACGGCACCGCGUACACCUCAAUGCGCGCCACUUGGAGCCCUGGAUCCAGCCCCCCGUCGCACCUUGACGGCUCACUCCCUUGGUGCGCUACACCAGCGUUGCGUUGAGAAGCUCUCCUGCCGUCUCGCACAUCCCGUUUGCAUAAUCCACAUCGCUUGCAACUCAAUUUUACUCAGAUUUCACCCGUAAUAUAUCCCUUUGAAAUGCAGUGACUAUGGAUUCGACCCCUUAGGCCUCGGCAAGGAUCCAACCAACCUUGCACGCUUCCGGGAGGCUGAAGUGAUGCACUGCCGUUGGGCGAUGCUUGGCGUAGCUGGCGCCGCAGGUGCUGAAAUCAUUACUGGCGUGACAUGGACAGAGGCCCCUGUGGCCCCCUCUCAGACAUACUUAGGCAGUGAGGUCCCAUUUCCUCUGCCUGCCAUCGCUGCUAUUGAAGUCUUCGUUAUGGCUUAUGUUGAGACGAAGCGUGCAGCAGAGAAGGACCCUUUGAAGCGUAUAUAUCCUGGCGGCAGCUUUGAUCCCGCUGGCUUCUCCAAAGGUAACGACUUCGAAACGCUGAAGAAGAAAGAAAUUGCGAAUGGGCGAGUUGCUAUGCUUGCUUUUGCGGGAAUCAUUGGAGAGGCACAGGCGAACAACCUCGAGGGCCCUGUUCACGCACUAGCCCGGCACAUUGCGGACCCGUGGCACACGACCGCCGCAUCCAACGCGCUUGCUGUUCCAUAUCUGUAAGCAUUAUAUACCUUUCCAGGGUCUGAUAACCAAAUAAUCGGUUCUGAAUGAAUUGAAGCGAGUGGUUGUGUUGAGGAGAACAGUAGGUUUGACACGAAGUGAUCAGGCCGACACGUCAAGUACAAAUUAGUAUUCUGAACUUGUUUCUGCAGAUGUGUUUUUUUUUGCUUUUACUUCUCCUUCGCAACUGUCAUUCGUCUCGAAAUAUGUAUAUUCACAUGAUUUGGAGAAACACUUUUGAAAGAUGCUACAUAUGUGCACAGACCCAAAACAACUACCUUCGAACCUUCGAUUCUUUAUCAUCUGCCUAUCUCUAAAGCUUAUUAACUUGUACGGAAGUACACGUGUACACUACUAGUUGUACCUUCGUACUUUCGUACAACGUUUAUGUAGACUACCCCACUCGCGGCAGAGACUAUCUAUCUUCAUAGACUAGCUAGCUAGCUACCUGUAGCUAGCUAAGUUACCUUUAUUUGUACAUGUACUAUCAUAGCAUUGCCUGUUUUAAAAGGUACGAAAGUACGAAAGUACCUUCGAAGGUACGAAGGUACUUUCGUACCUUCGUAGUCCUCAACAGUACGCGUACUGUACGUGUACAACUACACUACUGUACAUAAAUUCGAAAAAAGCGUUGCCUAAAAAAAGCGUUACUCGUGACGAAAAAAACACGUACAAAAGUGUACGCGCGAAACACUGCUCCUCCGCGCGCGAUGCACGUCUGCCCGCAAAACUUUGCACGAUGACAGUACUAAGGCAUGCGCACAGCCCUAUGGUGGUUUUUUUUCGAAUUUCGCGCGCGUCGCGAAGAAAGCGCAGAUCUUGCCCGAAAUCGCGAUUCGCGAAGAUCGCGUACCCCACUCGCGGCAGAGAGCAUGAACGCGAAAUCCCCCACCAUAGGAAGUUCAACCUUGAUGCCUGGAACGAGAUGGUGCAAAUAAAAAUCGUCGCGAUCUCAUUUGAGGAAGGAGUAGUGUUUCGCGUCGAGGGAACAGCUCUUUAAGAAAUGGCUUCGUCGUGCCACAACGACUGGACGGGCUGUAAUAUUAUGAUAUUGAAAAAUCUGCCACUAUCGCCCGCGCCACUUCCAUCUCGUCUUUCGAAAGCAUGUCAUGGUUCAGACAAACUGGGCAUACCCACGUGACAUUCUUGAAAAACUCAGUCGUCCGCUCCCUUUCCUCGGGAUAAAAAAAGUGAAUGUGUUCGUCGCCGCGCGCGAAUUCGGUCAACAUCUCGCACUAUUCGCGUCUGCGCGCGAAACUCAAAAAAAAAAAGACCCGACGUACGAUUGUGCGCAUGCUUUAGUACUGGCAUCGUGCAUAGUUUCGCGCGCAGACGCGCAUCGCGCGCGGAGGAGAUAGGUUUCGCGCGCGGGUGUUGGCGCGUACACUUUUGUAUGUGUAAUUGGUCACGAGUAUGUUUUUUAGGUGGUUUAUCUAUGGAGAUAAAUAAAUACUUUCGUACCUUCGUAUGAUACGAGUACGUGUACAUGUACACGUACUCGUACAGUACUACUCUCGUACUGAAAUACGAGUAUGUACGUAUUAUACCUCGAGUAACGUUGCACAGUACGUGUACGUGUACAUCCUGUACAACGUACACCUAAUACUCGUAAAUAUCAUACAGUUGCACUUCCGGAAUACUUCCAGAAAUAGAUAAUAAGUUGAGUGCACUAUCAUACAAUUGAUACAACAAAAAUACAGUAUUUCCGUACUUUCGUAAACGUAUCAUACGUGUACGUGUACUGUAUUCUAUCUAUUUCCGUACGAAAGUACGAAAGUACUUUCGUAAGUACUUCCGUACACGUGUAUUUCCGUACGAAAGUACGAAAGUACUUUCGUACGGAAGGUACUUCCGUACACGUGUACUUCCGUACUUUCGUAAGGUACGAAAGUACUUCAGUACAUUUGUUAUUACGGAAGUAAUACGUUGCUUCGAUGGUACUUCCAGAAAUAGAUACGGAAGUAAUACGUUGCUUCGAUGGUACUUCCAGAAAUAGAUACGGAAGUAAUACGUUGCUUCGAUGGUACUUCCAGAAAUAGAUACGGAAGUAAUACGUUGCUUCGAUGGUACUUCCAGAAAUAGAUACGGAAGUACUUUCGUAGCUGUCAGCUAUUGUAGAUAGCAUUUGGCUACAACGCGGUUUACACAAUUGCACAUGUACACGACUGCUACACGUGCAAGACUCGUGCAAAUACUGUACUGUAGUAUUGUACUGUACAGUACACAUAUGGUGGAAUAGUUGUUCAACAUUGAUAUUGUUCAAUGGAUAGAAUAAUCCCUAAUAAACGAGUAAUAAACGUACACGUACAGUACGUGUACAGUACAGAUAAACAGCGUACAGCGGCGUGUACGUGACAGUACGUGUACUGUAUUGGCAACUUUCAAAAGUUUCAGACGGCACUUUUGGAUAGGGCUGAGGUGUCGUAGCGCACUAGCAGACGUAACCAUUCCUCGGGCAAAAGUGACGCGGCAUUAGGGACCGGUGCAUCAGGGACUGAAGGUAAAUCCCGCGGGCACUCACCAACAUUAAUCGAGAAACAGUCGUCCGGUGAGCGGUGCCCGAAAGCGUUAUUCUUUUGCUCGCCGGGUUUUUUCCUGCUGACGGGGUUUUGGCUUGCGCUGUAGAGAUUCAUUCAUCCACGUUGACUCUAGUCGGGUCGAUGAUGAGUUGUCUGUACCGGUCGCGAUUUCGGACACGUUAGCUCUUUGCCUCGUGUUCUGUCGCGCUGACUUUGUUCAUUCGAUACUUGUCGCGGGAAUCCCAGCAAAAGAGAGGUCGGUAAACCGGCAAAAUGCACGCGCUGAGCGCUGCCGCCAACUGGUGGCCCGUGCAUAAAGCGCACGCUUCGACGUCAUCGAGUAACCGUCGCCAUAUCGCGCAGCUUUUACGAUGUAAGUUACAUCACUCCGCAGAGAUUCUCAGCUUCGUCACCGGGACACGUCUCGGGAAAACUCUGAUAGAUAAAACCCCAACUUUUCACGUUAGCUUCUAUCUCCAUCUUCCCUUCUUAGAUAAGAGAUCUGUCUUUAGUUUUACCAUUUAUCGACCAGCUGUAUUUUUAAGUCUUCGUUUUUAUUUCACUUUCUCUUAACGUUAACAUCCUUCUCUGCAACAUAUCCUUUGCAGUGAACAAACACGGAAAUUAUUUCAACCUUAGGCCACAAGGAAAUAGUGCUCGAGUUCCAGCUCCAGCCAUCACAUUCAAGCCAUGCCGCAUUGAACUGCAGCAUGACACAUCUCCUGGUGACGUCUGUACGUGCGCAUCUGUUUCCGCACCUGCGGACACAAGUGCUGACACUACCACAACAGAGGCUCUUGCCAGGUAUGUUGCUGCCCACGGUGGCAAACGUGUUAUCCGGAAGGUGCUCAUAGCGAAUAAUGGAAUGGCCGCGACAAAGUCGAUCAUAUCCAUGCGUCGAUGGGCGUAUACUGAACUUGGAGACGAAAACGCCAUCGAAUUCAUCGCGAUGGCAACUCCCGAGGACUUAAAUGCCAACGCCGAAUUCAUCCGGUUUGCCGAUGACUUCGUGGAGGUCCCGGGAGGUUCAAACAAAAAUAACUAUGCGAACGUCAACCUAAUUGUGGACAUUGCUGAGCGUGAAGGAGUUGAUGCAGUAUGGCCAGGAUGGGGACAUGCAUCAGAGAAUCCAAAACUUCCAACUUCGCUUAAGGAGCGUGGGAUACAGUUUAUUGGCCCGACAGCACCCGUGAUGUCAGUGCUUGGCGAUAAAAUCGCUGCAAACAUCCUUGCACAGACUGCAAAGGUUCCAUCCAUCCCGUGGUCUGGAGAAGGUCUAGAGGCGGAGCUCACCGAGGAAGGCACGAUUCCUGAUGAUAUUUUCAACAAAGCAAUGGUUACAACGGUCGAAGAAUCUCUCGUGGCAGCGAAUCGCAUUGGGUAUCCAGUCAUGUUGAAGGCUUCUGAAGGUGGUGGCGGUAAAGGCAUCCGCAUGAGUGCUAAUGACGAGGAAUUAAGGGUCAACUUUGAAAUGGUCAAGGCAGAGGUUCCCGGGUCGCCGAUGUUUAUGAUGCAGCUCUGCUCCCAAGCUAGGCAUCUUGAAGUUCAAAUUGUUGGCGACGAAUACGGAAAUGCGGUUGCCUUAAGUGGCAGAGACUGCUCUACACAGCGCCGCUUCCAGAAAAUAUUUGAGGAAGCGCCGCCAACGAUCGCAGACCCUACAAUAUUUCGCGAAAUGGAAAAGGCUGCUCAGCGUCUAACUCGAAAUAUUGGAUAUGUCGGCGCUGGGACAGUUGAAUACCUGUACAAUGCCACGACAAAGAAGUACUAUUUCCUUGAACUCAACCCACGUCUCCAAGUCGAGCAUCCUGUCACAGAGGGAAUCACAGGAGUAAAUCUACCGGCAACGCAACUGCAAGUGGCCAUGGGUAUUCCGCUUAGCCGCAUACCUGAUAUCAGGAGGUUUUAUGGCCGCGAUCCGGAGACGGACACGAACAUAGACUUCAUGGAAGAAGACUAUGUCCUUCCCGAGCGCCACGUCAUCGCGGCCCGAAUAACGGCAGAGAACCCAGAUGAGGGUUUCAAGCCUACCUCAGGCGGUGAGUGAGUCUUACCAUCCUUGCUCUAUUGUUACUUUUGCUCACCAAGUGUACCGGUCACUAAGUGUACUCUUAUUCGUUUUCUCACUGCAGGCAUUGAAAGAGUGUCAUUUCAGUCAACACCUACUGUCUGGGGUUACUUUUCUGUUGGCGCCAACGGUGGCGUGCAUGAGUUCGCAGAUUCCCAGUUUGGUCACAUCUUUGCCACCGGCUCGACUCGCGAGGAAUCACGCAAGUCGCUCGUGUUGGCUCUUAAGGGAAUGGUGGUGCGAGGUGAGAUUAGAACUGCCGUCGAGUAUCUUGUUCAACUCUUGGAGACGGAUGACUUCAAAAAUAAUAAUAUCGACACAAGUUGGCUCGAUGGUAUUAUCAAGGCAAAGUCAAUUGCAAUGAAAGAGGAUCCACACACCAUCGUAGCGUCUGCUGCCCUAUAUCGUGCUUUCCGAAUCGUACAAGCAGAAGAAUCUGCCUUCAAGGAAUUUUGGCAGAAGGGGCAGACAGCCACUCAAGGAAUCGAACGUCUCACAGAGUUCCCAAUGGAUAUAACGUAUCAAGACGUGAAAUAUUCCUUCACGAUUCACCGUCGUGGUCCGGACUCACUUGUUCUAUCUCUUAAAGGAGAAGAUCUCAUCAACGCAAGAAUUCGUGAGCGUUCUGAUGGAGUACUCCUUGGAAUAUGGGGGGGGCAGACGCACGAGAUCGAUGGUCUCGAGGAACCGCUCGGUCUGCGAAUGGUGCUCGAUGGUCAAACCUGGCUGCUUCCCAACCAGUUUGACCCGUCUGAGCUGCGGACGGAUGUCACAGGUAAACUCAUUCGCUUCCUUCAGGAUGAUGGCGGCGAGGUGAUUGCGGGCAAGCCUUAUGCAGAGGUCGAAGCAAUGAAGAUGGUAAUGCCCCUCAUCGCAACUGAAAGCGGCACGAUAUCACAUGCCAAAUCUGGAGGUGCCGUCAUCGAGGCUGGUGAUCUACUCGGUAGCCUCACUCUCAAGGACCCAAACAAAGUGAAGAAGAUUUCUCCGUUUGGUGGGGAAUUUCGCUGCUCAUCUAUAGAGGGCCAAGAAGCACCCCCAUCUGCUUCUGAGGCACUUGAGGAAGCUAUCUCCUCUACUAACCUACUUCUCGAUGGAUACGUUCUUCCUGUAGAAGAGACAGUGAAUAACCUUCUCGAAACGCUUUGUGAUCCUGCACUCCCAGAGGCUGAUGGUGGACGAUGGCAGCGGGCAUGUUCUAUCCUCAAUUGUAUUGUCGAUCGUUACCUCUCCGUCGAGAGUCUGUUCGCUGGAAAGAAGGGAGACUCCGUGAUGCGCGAACAAACGCAGAAGAACAGUGGUGACAUGGACGCACUCUUAAGGAUGGUCGUUGCUCAUGCACGCAUCAAACAGAGUACACAAAUGGUAAUCAGUCUGCUCAAGCAAGCUCCGACACUUCCGCAGCGGGUCAUGGGUGGACCCAUCGGAUGGGCAGAUGACCAUUCACCCAUAUCUGACGAUUUCCGUGCUUCCAUUGAACGACUGUCAAACCUGAGAGGUGCUGACUACGGUGAACUUGCGCUGACUGCAUCCAACAUUUUACUUGAAAAACGUCUCCCCUCCAUAGAUAAACGCCUCGAUGAGCUCCGCAGCAUCCUCUUGGGAGGUAUGGGCUUGAAGCGUCCGUGGGGGACUUCAGAGGCGGGCGAUCUGAAAAGCUUGAUCGAAUCCCCCACCCUUGCUGUGGAUCUUUUACCAUCUCUUUUCGUAGAUUCUGAUGCAGACGUUGCCGAUGCAGCGCUUGAAGUCUACACGAAGCGUGUUUAUCGUGCCCACAACGUCAUCUCAUCGGAAAUUGUGCGUGAAAAUGACCUUGACUCAAUGAACUUCAAGUUUCAGUUCAACACUUAUCCAGAGGAGUCACCGCUGCGUUUCGGCGUCAUGGUGGUGACCACGACACUUGAACAAGCUAAGGCCCAGAUGCCAGCUAUACUUGAUCGUCUCGCCCAUCAUAUCGACGAUGCCGCAAAAGAUACGCCGUUUCAUGUUUUACACAUUGCUUUGAGCUGCCAGACUGAAGAAACAACUCUGGCAGACCGAUGUGCAGCCGUUUUGAGCGAACACCGCGGCCGCAUGGCGGAACUUGGCGUCAAGUUUGUAAACGUUAUUAGCUACGUCCCCCCCAACCUCCCUCACUAUUAUACUUUCACUGCUGCCAAUGGUUACCAGGAAGAUCCUCUUUAUCGUGGUGAGCGGCCCACUGUUGCACACUUGCUUGAGCUAGCUCGACUUGAGAACUACAACCUGACACGCUUGCCAACUGUUAACCGAGAUCUGCACGUUUACGUUGGAGAGUCCAAGCAAGGCUUCGGCAAGCGAGGUCUUCAGAAGCACAUACUACUUCGGCGCAUAAGUCACUCUCGUGAUGCGGCUGAAGGAGGUAUUGAACGAGUUCUCGGUAAGGCUGUCGAAGCCCUUGAUCUCGCACGACUUGAUCCGCGCACGAAAGGUGCCAGCUCUGGUCGGAUAUACAUCAACUUUUUACCAGCCCAGACCAACAGUCCAUUUGACACCAUCGUUACUUCCCUGAAGACGAAAGUAUUGGAGUUCAUCAGCCGCAAAUCUACCGAGCUCCUCGCCCAGCAGGUUGAUGAAAUAGAAAUUCGAUUUCGUAUCGCUGAGAGCCCAGGUUCUUCCGUGCAGGUCCCUGUCCGAAUUAUGGCAACAUCCAUGUCCGGACAAUGGCUCAAGGUUGACGUGUACCGUGAAUACCUUGAUCCGCAAACGGGGAAAGCAACGCAAUUUUGCAUGCUAGGGAAAGAUGGUGUCGAAGAGGCAUGUUUUAUGGAACCUUAUCCGAUGCCAGGUACCCUGCAGCAAAAGCGCUCUAUUGCCCGGGCCAUUGGAACGACCUACAUAUAUGACUUCUUGGGUUUGAUAGAGAAGGCAAUGGUGCUUGAGUGGCGCCAGUUCAUUGCAGAUAACGGCGAGGGUACUGUUCCUGUAGAUAUGUUCCGUGCGGAGGAGCUUAUCCUGAACGCAGAUGAUAGAUCUCUUUCGAAAGCAGAGACGAGCAGAAUUGCCGGUUCCAACGACAUUGGUAUGGUGGCGUGGCAGUGCUUCAUGAAAACACCCGAGUACCCCGAAGGGCGCGAAAUUGUUCUCGUAGGAAAUGACUGUACAUUUAUGUCUGGCUCAUUCGGUGUUAAGGAGGAUGAUUUUUACUAUGCGGUGUCACAAUAUGCUCGCAGAAAAGGUGUCCCACGUGUAUACAUUGCAUCGAACUCUGGGGCUCGCAUCGGCUUAGUCGAGGAGCUCAAGCCAUACUUCAAGGUGCGUUGCAAAAGUUUCUGCUGUGUUUUGGAUUUGUCUCGAAUCUUCUCUUGAAAAAUAUAUACUCAAUUUAUCUGUUUCUGCCUCUGAUUUUCCCGCUAGGUUGCAUGGAACGACGUGUCAAAUCCUUCACUAGGAUUCAGGUAUCUUUACCUGUCUCCCGAUGACUAUGCUGCCUUCCCGGAAGGCACCGUAAACGCAACAGAGGUUGUUGAUGAUGGCGAGAAGAGAAUGCAACUAGACGAUAUCAUUGGACAGAUUCAUGGCAUUGGUGUUGAAAACCUCCGGGGCUCUGGCAUGAUUGCCGGAGAGCAGUCAGCAGCAUAUUCUGAUGCGUUCACUCUUUCGUACAUAACUGGUCGUUCAGUUGGCAUCGGGGCCUACUUGUGCCGCCUCGGUCAGCGUAACAUUCAGAUGACAAAUGGUCCUCUCAUUCUCACAGGAUAUCUAGCACUGAACAAAUUGCUUGGACGUGAGGUGUACACCUCGCAGGAUCAACUAGGUGGUCCACAAGUGAUGAUGCCGAACGGGGUGAGCCAUAUGCAAGUUGAGGAUGACCAGGAGGGUGUGAAGGCCAUCCUUCGCUGGUUGUCAUAUGUUCCUUCAAACUGUUUUACUCGAGCUCCAGCACUUCCUUCAGCAGAUCCCACCUCUCGCAAAAUUGCAUUCAAGCCGACGAAGACACCAUAUGAUCCCCGCCACAUGAUUUCUGGAACGGAAAGCUCGGAUGGGUCUUGGAUUGGCGGUUUCUUUGACCGAGGUUCGUGGACUGAGACCCUCGCAGACUGGGGAAAAUCUGUAGUCUGUGGCCGUGCCCGCCUAGGUGGUAUACCUAUGGGUGUUAUAGCAGUUGAAACACGCCUCAUGGAGCAGCGCAUACCUGCGGAUCCAGCGAAUCCAGACUCUCGUGAAUCUGUUCUUGCUCAGGCUGGCCAGGUGUGGUUCCCAGACUCAGCUCACAAGACUGCAACUGCGAUUCGUGACUUUAACAAUGCCGAGAAUCUUCCUUUGAUUAUUUUUGCGAACUGGCGAGGCUUUUCCGGUGGCACUCGUGACAUGUACGGAGAAAUACUCAAGUUUGGUGCCAUGAUCGUCGAUGAGUUACGGGUUUACCGCCACCCUGUUUUUGUGUACAUCCCACCAAAUGGUGAGCUUCGUGGUGGCGCUUGGGUUGUUGUUGAUCCCACUAUAAACGAAGCUCAGAUGGAGAUGUAUGCAGAUGAGGAGAGUCGUGGAGGCAUACUUGAGCCACCUGGCAUCUGUGAAGUCAAAUUUCGUGACAAAGACCAGAAAGCAGUUAUGCACCGCCUUGACCCAGUGUUGCUAGAGCUGGACCAGGACCCCGAGGAAAAUCAGGUGGAAAUUUCUUCUCGGGAAGCACAACUUCUGCCUAUGUACACACAGGUGGCACAUGAGUUCGCUGACUUGCACGACCGAAGUGGGCGAAUGCUUGCAAAGGGUGUAAUCCGAGACGUUGUGAAGUGGGAAGAUGCCCGUGCUUAUUUUCAUGCCCGACUACAGCGCAGACUCGCCAUGGAUGACUUAGCAAUGGAAGCGGGCACUGAUCGGACAGUUGUAGAAGAACACUUGGAGAAACUCGCCGUCGAAGCUAACAUAAAUUGGAGCUCCGAUGCUGCUGUCACAGGCUGGCUUCAAACAGAAGCAGACCAUAUCAGGAACAUCAUAUCUUCACUAGGACGAGACGCUGCUGUUGAAGAUGCAGUAGAAAGCCUCUCAAGUCUUGAUGAAGAGGCCCUGAAGAUGGUACUACAGAUGUUGAAGGCACAAGGAAAGCAGUGAGCGGCUAGACUCUGAAAAGCUGAAUGCCAAGAAAGACAACACUCAUACAGCACCUCAGCGUGUGGAGCAAGCUGCUAUUGAAAGUACCUUCGAAGCAGUACUUCCGGAAGUACAGAAGUACUUUGCAGCUCCCUGUGUUGUGUAUUUCACCAGGCGAUUCAACUUGAAGAACUGAGGAAAACUGGUACGGAAGUAGACAACAAGAAGUAGAAAUACAGUGUAUAUAUAUAUUCCAACGAUUUCUCAUGGAACUAAAGGAUUUAGUCUCAAGAUGUUAUCCAGGCAUUUCCAAAGUAUGUUUCCGUGACUGGCUAAUCCUAUGAAACGACAAAAUACGGUGGACAUUUUCGUUCCAACGGUUAUACAGUAUUUUUAUUUAUUAUUUUCUUUGUUAGGGCCUGAAGGUACAACUGACGUUAAUUGUACUUGCAGAUAAAAGUACCUCGUACUUUGCGUUCGCGAAAGUACUUCCGGAAGUACGUAGCUACGUACUGUACACGUAAGUUGUACAACUUACCUUCGAACGAUUAUUAUUAAUUGACCAUUAUUUAUUUGUAUUCUUCCGGAAGUACGUUGUAGGGCAAUACCUUCGGAGGAUACACAAAAGCACCCCUGAUAAAUCCUUCGAAGGUACUUCCGUAUAUUCGUUCUAUCUUGCACAGUACACGUACACGUACGUGUAUGUCCUUCAUAGUAUAUAUCAUAAUGCCCUAAACCCAGCCAUAAUUAUAUACCUUCAUAUAUAUAUAGUACGUACAUAUACAAGUACGAAAAAAGUACGAGGGUAUCAGCGUACCUUCGUACGAAGAUAGCAUUAAAUAAAAUAGUACGAAAGUACUUUGUACAGUGUGAAGACAGUGACGAGUGAGCAAACAAUAAUAAGCCACCUUUGAAGUGGCGUCCUUCUUCCUUUAACAUCUUCCAGUCGUUAACAGCGAAAUAUUAUCGCAUUCUUAGAGUCUCAACUGCACCCAAAAGCCCUACACAGGAGCCACCAACGCUCUGAAGGCCUUUCGCACACCUCUCACAAAGAUGCUAAGGUUAUCAGAUGUGUUGCAUUCCUCAAGUAAAUUAGUGAUACAUAUUUCCGGAUCACAGUCAAUCAUCUCGAAACCAACACCGUCAAGCGCCCGCACAGCAACAAAAAACUCUCGCUUUCGAUCGCCUGGGUCAAUGUGUGAGAAGAAAAACUUGAGCUCCUCGUCGCUGCCCACCUCAAAACGCAGACCGAGUCGGCAGCGGUAAAGCUCGACUGCGUUCUGAUGCGCAUCAAGCUGCUGAGUGCUGUCCAAUUCUUCAGUUUGUAGCGCUCUUACUUUCUUCUCGAGUUCACUUCGUUCGGUCUGCACACGUUCGCGCAAGGUCUGGAGCUGCCGCGGCAACCCCACACCUAGCUCGCACGACAGGAGCGUUUCCUCCCGUAACGCGUCAAGCUCAGCUUGCUCCCAUUCCUUCCGGCGCGCGAGUUCCUCGGCCACAUAUGCCAGAUCUUCCCCUUUCUCCAAAAGUUCAACGUACGUGCUCUCGGCCGCCGCCAUAGCUGUCUUGUGCGUUGCUACAGCUUCUUUCAACGCCAACUCGCGCUGUGCAGCCCAGAUGUUUACCUGCCCGCGAGCACUGUCAAGCUCGCUCUGUAGGGUAUCAAGAUUAAUAAGAUCCCCAGCGUUAGCGACAGUUGGGGCGUCGGACAUGAUUGUGGUCGUGCUCCAGAACAAGGAUAGUAAGCGAAUAUUCUUGAUACGCUCAGAGAAUCCUUGGCAUCCUUGGCAACUUUGUUGAUUUUGAAAUUUUACGUCAUUUUUAUCGGUGUACAGUACACGUACGUACGAAGGUACUGUACGUACGUGUACAACGGUUACAACGCAUAUGUACAUACAGUACGUGUACGUGUAUAAGUGUAUGGAAGUAUAGAUACUUCCGUAUCUUUUUUUAACGAAUGAAGGCUUACAGUAGUACUUUCGCAAUUCAUAUCAUACACCGUGGAAGUUCCGUCAUUCCUAUCCCAAUGAAGGACUGAAGAGAAUGUAGACUUUUUCUCCCUUUUUAUAUAUAAAUAUUUUCGCGGGGAAGAUAGGUUUCGCGCGCGGGUGUUCGCGCGUACACGUUUGUACGUGUUUUUAGUCACGAGUACGUUUUUUAGGUGGAUUUUUUCGAAUUACGUAGAGGACUACCUUAAACUCCAUCAUUCCUGCCGUCAUCUUCGCAUUCAUAGCCAGUCCCAAAUCUCCACGCAUUUUCUGCUUCUCGUGCGAGUUUCACGCUGUUGAUGUAAGUCGGUUUUAUUUCCUUGUGUGGUAUAGAGGGCAUAUUUUUAGUAUGCUUUUUGGGUUGAGGCGACUUCACUUAGGUGUCCAAUUUACAUUUUUUUGGUUUGUAAUAAAAACCCUAAAAAUAUACAAAUCACUUAUCAAAUAGGGAAGUACUACGCCCUUUAAGCCCUGAAUUAGCCUUGAUGCGACAGAGUACACGUACUGUACUACGCCCUUUAAGCCCUGAAUUACGUAGUACCUUCGUACACGUAGUCUAUUUUCAUACAAAGGUAUUUCAUCACCUUCAUAAAACACGAAGGUACAAUACAAGAUGCACGUGAGUUGCACGUGUACGUGUAGUGGACAUGUACACCACGUGUACGAUGUACGUACCUUCGUAGCAGUGAUGUAGAUAUGUCAUAAUAUGAUGCCAUACCUUCGUAUCAUAUAGUAUGUAUGAUCAUAGACUAAUAUAUAAUGUGCGCGCAUGUGUGUGUGUGUAGGUCUGCUCUGAUACAGCGAGAUAGAUUGGUAUUGGCUACUCGCAGUUAAGUCAAGAGCCAGCAGGGACUUUCUUUAGAAAUCAUGUUUCGUAUUUCAGUAAAGGAUGAAUAUUAAUAACACUGAGUCAAAACAAAAUGAAGGAACUUUAGGGAGCAGCAGAAAACGUGGUACAUGUGCGAGCGAAAGGCGACAACCCCACACUUUUUUCCUCCGAAUCAAAGAUAAGUUGUUAGAGCAACAACUAAAACACGAAUAUCCAUAUAUUUCUACUUUGGGUUUCGAAGCACCAGAAUCACCGAAUCCCCGCGCAAGAACAUCUUGCUGAUGAAACGCUCUUUGUGAAUGGGGGUUGUUCUUUUGACACCUUUACCCGUCUUGGAUACUUCCAACCAGUACUCCUUUACGUUCUCGAGCACCAUGUUGCAGUGACGAUCAAAGGCUUUGAUUUGUCCGAGCAGCUUUCUAUUGUUUCUGCAGUUGAUCAAAACCUGGGAAUUUGUCUUGACGCUCUGGGUGAGUACCGAAAGAGGACCGGUAUCGAACUCUUGAUCCUCGAAUUUGUCAGCCUGCAAAUCGAAGAACAAGCACACAAAGUCAGUGCAGGUAUGACUAGGGUGUGUCAAAAAGAGGCCGAGGCCUCUUCACUCUUGCUAGGCAUUCUAUGUAAUUGUUUGCAUAUUUAUAUGAUACGACCAACCACGUGGCAUACCUCUCCUGUCAUCCCUGAGUCUGAAACUCAGUAAUCUGUCGGUCUUUUGACGAUUAAAUACGUGUCAGUCUUGCUUCAGGAUAAUUCGCGGUCGAGAGCAAGUACGACUUUCAGAUACCUUCGUAUAAAGAAAUAGCGCUACACGGGUCACAAGAGGGCUCCUAUCCUACGUGUACAUACAGCUGUGCACGUACACGUACAGUAAUAACUUACAUAUUAUUAUUAUUGUACCUUCGAAGGUACUUUCGUACCUUACUUCUUCGUACGUACUUUCGUACUUUCGUACUUUAUUUAUUUCGUACCUUCGGUAGGACAUAUAUAUAUCGUUGUGGUGAGAGGCUGCUGUAUGUGUUCCGGGGGUACACGUACAUACAGUACUACGCUUAAAGGGUUGAUCGCUUCGCGGUCAUUUUACCCUUAACUCUUUCAUAUCAACGCUAAUUCGCGGCUUAAAGGGCGUAGGCCUUCUCUAUCAAAACCGAAGUUGAUAGGUGAUUUUUGUACAUUAGGGUUUUCAAAAAACCAAAAAAAUGUAAAUUGGAAACCUACGGUACACGUACACGUACUGUAGUGUAUGUAGCAAAUAAUGUCAACUUAAGACAACACUCGUAAUAAAUAAAUAUUAGCCCUAUGUAUUCUGUAUCUAUUGACGUCUCACGAACCGAAUCCAAGCAAGUAUGUCAGAUUUACAAUCCCUGAUUUCUUGAAGAAAUAUGUUGAGGACGCUGACGACAUUGAAGACAACAUCUUUGAUUGCAAACCUAAAGAAUAUAUCUUUGAAUGGGAUACAAUCAGGGUGAAGGAGUAUCAAAUCACCCCUGAAGCCUAUGGUGUCUAUUUCGUCUAUGAAACGCACGAAGGUGUAAUAAAACACUACAAAAUUGACGAUUUUCAGGAUGGCGGCUGGAAUUUUAAAUGUUUUCCCAAAUACAGUGUACGUGUACGGUACGUGUACGUGUACGGUAGAUAGUUGAUUGUAUUUACGUACUAUUAUAUAUAUAUAUAUAUACUUCUGUACAUACACAUACAUCUACUACCUUCGGAGGUAUAUAGCGUAUGUAUAUGUAGUAAUAAAUAAUAACUACAUACGUACCUUCAAGGUACGUACGUAGCUACCUACGUACCGUCAAAGGUACGAAGGUAUAAUAAAACAUGCAGUACCUCCGUACGUUCUCGUUGUUUUAAAUUUGAACUUAUACCUUACUAUAGCCCACCCUGGCAUUCACAUACCCAUAUAAAACUGACCUUUGAAGAUAGUCUAGUGAAAGUGUGAUAUGUACACUACUAGAGCUAGCUAGCUAGCUACCUUUUAGCCCUAAUUUUUAGUACGGAAGUAUGGAAGUACAUAUGUACGUAGCUAUCAUACCUUCAUAUGCAUACACUAUUGUGAAUAGAGCAAUAUAUGGACUACACUAAUUUGUCUUCCUUUUCGAGUUCAGAGUGCCUACUUACACUUUGAGUCGCUGAGAAACCAAAUCAUAUCAAAGGCCGAGGAGCUCGAUCAUGAUCGCAUUUUGAGCAUGCAUGCGAUUCUCAGCUUCUUGGAAAACUAGUGAGAAUUCGGCCUCCAUAACUUCAUCUGUACAUUCUAGCCCUCGCUCUGCUGGGAGGCAGUGCAUAAAUUUACACUGAGGGCCGGCAAUGGCAAAAAGGGCAGAGUUAAUUUGGAAACCCUCAAAAGCCUUGUAUCGAGAUUCAGCGUCUUCCUUCUGCCCGGCAUUCAUCGAAGCCCACACGUCGCCAUAAAUGACAUCAGCACCUUUUACCGCCUCAAAAGGAUCGUGAGAUAUUUCAACUGUGGAUAUACCUGCAGCCUGAGACUGGACAGUGAGAGUAUAAUCGGGUUCAAAUCCCCUCGGACAGCAACAUACAAAAUGGAUGGGAUACACGGCCGCCAGUUCAAGCCAGCUAUGUACAAUAUUAUUGCCGUCACCGACAUAAACGAUUUUUUUCCCUCGCAAGUCCCCAAAUGCCUCCUUUAUAGUGAGUGCGUCUGCCAUUAUCUGACAUGGAUGGUUGAAGUCUGUAAGUCCAUUCACUACAGAGACUGAUCCAUAUGUCGCAAGAUCGAGGACAUCUUGGUGUGCAAAAGUGCGCGCCAUGAUUAUGUCGUUGAAUCGUGAGAGAACACGUGCAAUAUCCCGGGUUUCUUCACGACCUCCAAAACCAAUGUCAUUUGGUCCAAGGUACACUGCAUGACCACCCAAUAGAUGGAAGCCUGUCUCAAAUGACACACGAGUGCGCAAAGAAGGCUUCGUGAAAAUCAUGCAGAGAGUUUUGCCCUCAAAUGGACGAUAUGAGCGAUCACCUGAGACAAGCAUUGACUUGACUUCGGCUGCGCGGGUAAGCAGUGCAUCAAUUCUCGCCUCGUCAAGGUCGUUUAUGUGAAGAAAGCUGGGUGCGCAUUCAACUUCUUCAGAUGGUAAACCCUGAUGGAGGCAGCAGAUGGAGAGAAAGUAAUGCGCCGUGAAAGGAGUACAGAAUUUCUCGAGUGAACGGGUGAAGUUGUCCUAUAGGAACGUGGAAGAAGCGGGAAAUCAAUUCCACCUUGCAAAUACGGUCAGCCCUACAUUUAGACCAUGCAGAAUGCGGAGAGGCGACCACUCGAUUUGAAAUUGCGUGUGGCGAUCGAAAACCACUUCUCAGUCGAAUUGAACUGACUGGCGGAGUGAGUAAUAUUUCCAUUGAAGACACGUGGGAUAUACUUAAUUUAAACAGUUUUUUUGUUUGAUCCGGAGUUUCUGCAGAGAACUGCGUUUUACAACGCUAGACGUUGGUGUUUAUCUCACAAGAAAGUGUUACUGUACAGCCACUGUGCUCGGCUCGGUUAUAAAUAAUGUCCAGUGCGUACGUAUAGAAUACUUCCGCACCGUCGAAGAAACAAAUAAACUACACGUACUGUAGUAUGAAGCUCAUCGUACGUACGUACGUACAGUACAGUGUUUAUUUUUUAUUGGCAAUAAACAACUUUAGCAGUUUUAUUUCUACGUGCAGUACACGACUCCUACACGUUGACUACAAGCUAGUGUAGUCUAAAUAUGAUACCUUCGUUCGUAGUCAAUAUGGACUCAAUAAUCGACAAUUUUAUUUCGCUCGACCUGAAAAAAAUUUACUUAUCUCAACUCAUAAGUUAUCGAUUUUUCGAUAGUCUAUACUGUAGCCCUAAAUAAAGUGAUAGUGACCAGCAGUCCACCUAGCACCUAGCCCUACAACGUACACAUUGAUAGCCCUACACGUGUACACGUGCACGUGUACGUGUACACGUAUUCACGGACGGAAAUAGAAAUUCGAAUAUUUCAUUUCUUGCCUCACUAUCGUACUCACCACAUCUCCACACUUGUUGAACGUCCUACGACUGAUACAAUACGCUUCCUAGCAUAAGUUUCGGCAUUUCCUGCAUAUGUAAAUCUGCGAAUAUGUGCGUGACUUUUAACUUUCUAGACGUAAACCUGCACUAUUCCGCCUUCCAAGUCUGUGUCCUCGUGUCUGUGUCUUAUCAGUUCUAUCGUUCCACCGUCGUUUUAUCGUUCGAAACUACCUCUUACUUUUCUACCGUGCCUGCCUGUUAAUUCCUUGCCCUUCCAUUCCAACACAGGCUGUUCUAUUCAUACUUUAAAACCCUAAUGGGCAAGCAGGUGCUGCGCUACACUUUUUUUGCUGUUGCUUCCUCCUGAGUGCGAUCGCGAUUUCUAUUUUUUUUGAAGUCUUUCUUUAGAUAUCUCUUUCAUACAUUCACAGGUGACGGUUGAGCUGAAAAACGACCUUGCAAUCACUGGACUACUGCGAUCGGUUGACCAGUAUUUAAACAUUAAGUUGCAAGAAACUGUAGUUGUCGAUGAAGCGCGAUAUCCGCACAUGAGCUCAGUUCGCAGUUGUUUUAUUCGUGGUUCUGUCGUACGCUACGUGCAGCUGCCUCCAGACGCAGUUGAUGUGGACAUACUGCACGAUGCAACAAGACGAGAUGCCCGCGGUGCUUGACGGAAUACUUAAUUCUGAUUUGGUUCGUGAGCAUAAACAUGGAAGAGUAAUACUGGUGUUUUGUAACAUAAAAAUAUUUGACUUUAAAGUGUCGCUUUCAGGCAAGAUAACUUGUAUUCAGAAUGUUAUUAGACCUCAUUUAUUGCGGGCAUUGUAGUUUUUUUUUCCUGAUUAAAGUGCCUGAAAGCGAGUCGACUAGCGUAACCAUCUUCAGAUUUUGUAUUUAAAGGUUCAUUGUGUGAGCACUCAAACACAAGAACUUUAUCUGUUGCGAGUCGAGCGAAAUGGAGAGUCAGCAGUCACUCUAUCAAUGGGCACAGCUAAUAACAUACAUUGUCUCGAUACAAACACUCAAAACUAGUAUGCCGAGACUCCAUAAACGGGGCCGCGAAUCCGUCUUGCAAGCUGUAGGUCUUUUGGCAUAAUUGUCACGCGCUUUGCAUGGAUUGCACAGAGAUUACAGUCUUCAAAUAGGUGAACUAAAAAGUCCUCAGUUGCUUCCUGGAUUGCCAGGAGGCUUUCCGCGGUGUAUCGAAAAGGCUCUGGCGAGACUUCAUUCGAAAUCUCUCUAACCUGUGAUCACAGAAGCGUAGGUGAGUUGUAGUCAUUUUAUUUUAACAUUUUAAAUGGGUUUAUAACAAGCACAGUUGUGGGACUGAUAAUGAGAAUGAACGCAGAGCCAGAAAACCAUACCAAACGGCAAAAAGGUGCUUUACGGAUUAGGAGUUCGGUGCUUUUCUGAAAUUUUCUGAUUUCCUUUAAUGCAAGAGUGCCAGGUUUGUAUCGGCGUCGCCGUCUCUCUUCUACAAAAAAGUGUUCAGAGCCGGAAUCCUGUAAAUCAAACCAAAAAAAAAUUCCGGUCGAGCGCUGAAAAGUCAAAUGAAACAAACCUGGGAGUCCGCCUUCAUUUCCUGUUACUUGAGAGGAUGAUUUCUGCGGUUUCUUUCCCUACGUGGUUUCAGUUUAUUUUUUUCGUUGGAGAAGAAUCUGCGAGAACUAAAGUAAUUGUCGGGUCCUUCGAACCUUCCGCGUCUGCCUCCCUUGCAAACGUCGCGCCAUGAUGCUUAAACCGAUUUACGCCGUAAUGAAUUUAAGCACCCUUUCCUAACAGAAGGCCUGUCCAAAACGUGGCGAGUUAGAAAAACUCCGCAGGUCCCAGGAUAGUGUUGAUAUCACGAUAAUUCUUGGGGGACUAACACGUACGGAAGUACGAAAGUACGAAAGUACCUUCGUACUCAAGUACUUUCGUACUUUCGUACUUUCGUACUUUGAAAGUACAACUAGCUAGACGACAGCAUGCUGCCGAAGAGUGUAGCUUCUAGCCAGCUACGUACCUUCGUACGAAAGUACUUUCGUACAUUCGUACGAAAGUACGAAAGUACAACGUUGUACUUUCGAAAGUACUUUCGUAUCUAUUUCCGUGCUAGCCACACGACGAGUCACGCACGUAGUAGUCACGUAGUGUAGCUUGCUUGACUAGCUCUAGACUACCUUCGGUAGCUACGUACAUAGAAUAGCUAGGGCCCUAGCUAGUGGCUACAUCAGCGAAAGGAUAUGAGCUUAGAAAGGAUAUUCAAAGGAUGGCGUAUGAGCAAAAUUUCCUCUCUAAGCUCCUAUCCUCUCGUUGAUAGCCACUAGCUAGAGCUAUCUAUCAUAGCUAGCUACUACCUUCGAAGGUACCUUCGUAGAUAGCUAGCUACGAGAAGGUAGCUAGCUACGUACAGUACCUUCGAAGGCACUACUUCCAAUAGCUCGCUAUUACCUUCGAAGGUAGCUAGAUCUACUGUAGCAGCUGAUGGUCUACACGUACACGUAGCUAUCCGAUAUUAUGAUAAAUACGGAACGAAGUACGAAAGUACUUCAGUACAAGCUACUGAACGAAGUACUUCCGUACAAGCUAGUACGGAAGUACUUUCGUACAAUGUAGAUAUCUACCUAAGGUAUCUAGCAGGGGGGGGCAAUCCCGGGGUUCGGUACCCCGGGAAAUUUCGGCCAACAGUACACGUACACGAUUUAUCGCAAAAUACCUAGGGUUUUUUUACAGUAACUUACCCCAUCACGUACACGUACGUGUACUACUCGUGUACUGUACAUGUACUGUACACGUACACGUAGCGCACAAGGCAAAUAAUUAUUAUGGCAAUUUUUUUCAUUCGAUCCAGCAAUUCUUUCGUACUACGGUUGAUCGGAUUGACCGAUCAGCAUUGGCCGAGGGUCGGGUUUCCACCCGUCUGACAAUUCAGUUGCCCCUUCGUCUACGAUCAGAGUUCUGACAGUUUACAGCUUUACACCUUCGUAUCAUUGUACAGGUACCCCUGUAGGACCUCGUAUCGGUAUAAUCAUAGCUACAUACGGAAGUACACGUAACAACUUACCUUGGGUACAACGUAUCAUAAUAUUUCCAGUGCAUUAGUGCGAAGUACGGAAGUUCGGAAGUACGGAAAUACUUUCGUACUUACGAAGGUAAAUGUUGUUUAUUACGAAGGUACCUUCCUACCUUGUUCAUAGAUUGUACUGUCAUAAAUAAAUAGACUAGUCCAAUAUGUACCUUCGUACUGAAGUACCUUCGGUACAGAAGUACGAAAGUAUCUUAUAAACUUCGAAGGAAGUACUUCGUUCCGUACGAAGUAAGGUAGAUAGAUAUCUAGCUACUUCCGGAAGUACUUCCGAGAGUUGUAGUACAUGUACACGUAGCUAGACUAGCGAUGUACUUCCGGAAUUACUUCCGUACGAAGAUAUUCCAGACAUCCAUACAGUAUGAGACUCAUAUGAGCAUACUGUAGGCAGGAAGGGCCAAUAAAACGUACCUUCGUAUUCUAUUGGCUAGCUACGUACUUCCGGAAGUACGAAGGGAGCUAGCUAGCUAGCUACCUUCAAUUUUAUUAUUAGAAUACGAAGGUAGAUAAUAUAAAGUUGUUACCGCAGCGAAGGUAGAUAAUAAUAAGUUGUUAUCGUAGCUAGCUAUCUCUACGUGUACAUACAGUAGCUAGCUCUAUAUCUUCGUAGAUAUCUACAUUGUACUUUCGAAAAGUACUUCCGUACGUGUACGUGUAGCUAGCCCAGUGUGUCAAAAACACUUCAUAAACGACGUACAGUACUUUCGUACUCGUUUUUGUAUGAGAAAUCGUCAGAAAAUCGCGCUCGUACCAUUUCAACUUUUUUGCUUUCAGCGUUGAUCGAUGUAUCUAUCAAACCAGAGAAUUCAUCGCGAUUUUUUCAAAGGAUACUUGACCAAGGCGCAACUUCAAGCGCGCGUAGCUCCCUAACGCCCGGGAGUACUUGCGCGAAAUCACGACCGCGAUGAGCUCUGAUGAUGAUGAACACGGUGAUGUGAUUUUUACUCAAGUACUUGUGGGCAAACGUGCGCGCUGAAAUGGAACGAAAACGUACAAUCGUUUUUGACACCCUAGCUAGCUAGCUACCUUCGUAGCUAGCUAGCUAGACAAGCAAGCUAGCUAGCUAGUAGAUAGUCUAUCCAGCUAGCUAGCUAGCUAGCUACCUUCGAAGGUAGCUAGCUAGACAAGCUAGCUAGUCUAGCUAGCUAGCUAGCCCUACAAUACAGUACACGUACAGCAACUCGUACAGCUAUGUGUACACUAUCUACAGUAUCCCCUUUUUGUGAUUCUCCCCACACACACGCACUCACAGAACCACAGUCACACACACGUUUACACACACACACGCACGCACACGACUCUUUCCGUUACAGCAUGCGAUAAUGUUAUUUGCGACGUACUUUUCAAGGAUCGGUAGCGUUGCUGUUAAGUCGAGUCUGCCCGGAGCUCGUGCGCUUAUACAGUUGCACUGUAACAAGUCCCUGCCCCUGCGUCGCGAAGGCCACUCCGCCGCACUUCUAGGCUGCGUCAGAACGACGGAUGUCUUUUUGAGAUCGGGAGCUGUUCUGAGCUCAUCUUGUUCGAUAAGACACGCGCGCUCCGCCGACGUAACCGCCGCGUACCUCUUUCAACACGUGAAAAGUCGAUGCAUAACCAGCUUCUCGACGCCUUCGAGCCGAAACUCGACCGCGGCCGAGAGGUUCGCUGCAAGGACAGGGGCGUUCCAUCACCGAAGACCAAGACUUACACGUGCAUAUGAUAGGACCGUAGAAAAUACCCUGAAGGUGAACGCGCUAAACUUCAAGACAAAUUCACGUCUAUUUUUUUUACAAGGGUCAUAUCUCACCUCACAUGCCCACACACCUGCUACUGUGGUGGAAGCGACUUAUCUCUGUUUCAAAGUUUGCACUCCACUUUCCUCAGCCAGUUGUUUUAUUUCUUCCCCUUUUUAGGUAUGUAAACCUACGAGUCCUGGUCAGCGAGGUCGCAUUAUCACUGUGCGCACUGAGCUCUGGAAGGGAAAACCAUACAGACCACUCACACGCGGGAUUGCGAAAACAGGUGGGCGCGGCCGCCUUGGCCGAAUCACAGUUUGGCACAGGGGUGGUGGCCACAAACGUCGGUACCGUGUGGUUGACUUCAACAAACACAGACUGCGCGGAAGUUUAGGUACUGUCUGCCGCGUUGAGUAUGACCCAAACCGUACUGCGCGAAUAGCCCUCGUGAGACAUGAGGGCCAUAAAGGUCCCGUGUACGUUCUUGCUACUGAUACUAUGAAAUCCGGGGACACCAUUAUUGCUGAUAAUGAUGACCAAGAAAUUCGGCCCGGCAAUUCUAUGCCACUUGAACGGAUGCCUCUUGGGACUGUGAUUCACAACAUUGAGCUCCGUCCGGGUCAAGGUGGUAAGCUUGUUCGCGCCGCUGGUGCAGCCGCCACUCUAAUAAAGAAAGGCAAUCAUGGAUAUGCUGUUGUAAGGUUGCCUUCAGGCGAACAGCGUCUGGUUUUAGCCCGGUGUUACGCCACAGUUGGCAUAAUCUCCAAUCGUUCCCAUCAAAAUCGAAAGUUGGGUAAGGCCGGUGCCAGGCGUUGGCUCGGCGUGCGUCCUACUGUUAGAGGAGUAUCCAUGAAUCCUGUAGACCACCCGCACGGAGGAGGUGAAGGUCGGACCUCGGGUGGCCGGCCAUCCAGUACUCCUUGGGGUAUUCAGACAAAGGGUAAAAGGACACGAAACUCUAAGCAUUCAGACCUUUAUCGUGUGGCACGCCGAUCAACUGGCAGGAAGGGCACAUAACGCGUUUUAUUUUUGAGGUUUUCUUCGAAAUAGAGAGAUAAUAAUUGUAUGAGUACCAGGGCAGUUUUUGAGUACAGUGAUGGGUACAGUGUACAAUAAAGUUGAAAAUUGACAAAGUGAAGAUGACCCGGCUCUACAAUAUUUUUUAAAAGUCAAAAUAGAAGCCUCUCUCGAAAAAAAUGCAUGAGUAUCCUUAAUUUGCAGAGUUUCGCUUAUAAAAAUCCAGGAUGGACAGCUUAAGCGUUGUGAAGCAAAGCCCUGAACUGCAAUUGAAGUUCACCCUCCCGUAUUUCCACCAGUGCCUUGAAUUUGCUCAGCAUAUAGACUCUGUCAGUACAAAUCUUGACCUCAUGAGUUUCGAGUUGCAUGUACGAUAAAUACUCUUCCUUCGCCACGGCUAGCAGUGAGCAUGUAGCUUUUAACUUUUCGUUAAGCUUGCCAGUUCGUUUCACAUGACCAGCAAUGAGACGUCCAACUUUACUUUCUAGCUUCGCGGCAAGCCUGGAAUCAGACAGCAUGAAGCCCUGAAUACGGUUAUGUUCCGCAAUAAAGGCUGAUACACCGUCAAAGAACUUCCCGGAAGCCAGGUGAAUGAUUCUGUUCACAUCAUCAGAAUCAGCUGUGCGAGCACACGACGCAUGCAAAUGUGAGCACUCCAUCUCCUUUUCACCCUUCAGUAGUGCUCCGAAGGAGGUGGCCUCCCGAAAGAUGAGUUCUGAAGCCGCAGCUAUUUCAGCUCCACCAAAUCCUGGAAUUUCAUCAUAUUUUGUGAAUUUUGAUUCUAAGUCAUAAUUCCCGUGGUCAGUAUCGUGACGAACAAUAUCGGCCAGCUCAGUUGCUAUCAAUGCGCUCGCCUUGGUUGACUUUACAUCGGCACGAGAAAUAAAGUCCCCCAUGUAACCAAUUGAAAUCUUCGGAAGACAACGAUGUGUGGUCUCAGUAGUAUGAAGAGAUUUUCUGGUAGUGUUUGGCGCCAGGUCAGCAGAUGUAGAUGUCCCUAUUUCUGCCAACUUGCUACUAUGCUUUCCUCCUUUCAGGAUAUCCGGAACUACAACGUGAUAAUCAUUGUUUGGAGCAGGCAACGAAGUUAGUCUAUCGCUGAGUUGAUCAUACAGCAUCCUGUCUCUUGUUUUAAAGACUGGCUCGUCUUGCAAGACAUCAACAUUAUUAAUUUGUAGGGUAUCGCGAAUUGGUGUUUCAGAGAAAGCAUUCUCUGAGUGAAAACAUUCAAGUUCUGUCCGAGCAGUAUCAUAAAUUGGAAUUUUAUCUGGAACAGUAGGCCUUCCACUAUGUUUCAAAGAAGUAGAAUCCAGCUGACCUUCAACCGAAACAGAAGCUGAGAUCGAGUUACUCGUACACUGGGCUGGCACUUCGUGGUGAAGCGACACGAGUGCAUCAACUAGUGAAUUUUUGCCUCCCAUGAACCGUGACUCAGGCCUAUCCAAAUUGAUAAGAUUUUCGAGACCACUCACAUGCACGUUAGGUGGAGGAAGUUCAAGUUUGCGUUUAUGUUUUCCCGUGUUUGAUACAACGAGGGCGCGUAGUUGCUGGACUGCAGAUGGAGUGGUUUUCCGGUCUUGACUACGCUGUUGUCUCACAUCCUCUUUCAUCAGCUGAUCCUCGAGAUCCUUCUUGUGAGGCUUUUCAUAUUCUGUCAGUGAUGAAGGUGCAAAGGAAACAUUGCUUUGGUGCAGGUGUUCUCGAAACUCCAUAUCAGUGGAGUACGGACCGGGCACAGGCUUGAUUUCAAAAGGUAUCUCUGCGUUGUAGUCCAUUCCCCUUACACGCUUUGCCCGCUUCACUGUUUGGAUCCCUGCAGCCUUCAGCUCCCGUCGCUUCUGUAGGGAUGCAAGGCGGCGCGCUUCUUCCAACUGUUUCUCACGAGCUUUACGUUUUGCUUUCUUUCCCUUGGUAUUUGCCAGUCUAGCUCGUGCUUCAGAGAGCAUUUCUCUUUCAUCUUCAUCCAUGUCAACAGGGUCAGGACGAGCAGGUUUUGACUCUGGGUUCGGAUCAAUCUCUCCAGGCCGCAGCCGACGUGGGUCAUCGGUAAGUUCGCUAUCAUUAUAUCCGUGGCACGCAGCAUCAAGAAGCUUCUCGUACCUCUGCAGUAGCGAGGGUAAUGUAAAAAGAGUAAAAAGGAGUGAGCAGCCGCAGGGAUACUUCUUGGGUGGGCAAAUAAACGAACUGUUCUUCCUACCUCAAGACAUUGUGCUGGUGUUCUUCCAACAAUCGGGGCGAUAGUGCGCCAUUGUGUUGGCAUAAGCUUAGCGAGAUGCAGCAAUUUCUCAUCUUCCUCACGCGUCCACUCGGUUUUUUUUAUUGACGGGUCAAGCCACUCAUACCAACGCGCUUUGCACUGUUUCGCGGAUUUCCGUACAAGGAGCGAAGAUAUGCGUGCCCAUUGAUUCUUGCCGUAUUUCAUGACUGCCGCCUUCAGGAUUUCGUCCUCUGUGUUCUUCCAAACACCGCCUUUGAUCAUGAUCCGCAUAGUGUCACCCUCGAUGCAAAGUUGAAGCUCGUUCACUUAACAAGAACGUGCAAACCACUUUUACGGAUGGAUACUGCACUACGCCCUCGGCGCCGCAAAUAGGCUCGAAUUGACGGCCGCUGCAGGGUUGAACCGGUCUGAAAAAAAAGGCGAACAAAAGAUAGAUGCUGAAAGACUGCUGAAAGUAUGUCGUUGGGCGUCGAGUACAACGUACUUGAACGUGUACGUACCUUCGUUCGUACGAAAGUACCUUCGAAGGUACAGUACAUAUCUUCGUAUGAUACUUUGAGUAUUUUCGAAAGUACGAAAGUACAACUGUAUGUAGUUGUACACGUAUUCUAUAGUCACGUACACGCGCAGUGCAGUAGUACAACGUUGUACAUGUACAGCUGUACAGUUUACAGCUCGCUGUACACCACGUUUAUUCAACGGAAAUAAUAGUGUACACUGUACACGUACAGUACGUGUACCUUCACGUACGUGCGUGUACCUUCGAAGGUACGAAAGUAUAGAAUACUUCCGGAAGUACGUGUACAGCUGUACACGUACAGUAGGGCUGCGGUUCGGUGUGGUUGCUGUGUACGUGUAGUUGUACAACGUUGUAGUCGUGUGUUGUACUGCUUCGUUCGUGUCAACUUCGUGGUACUUCCGUACUUCCGUACUUUUGUACACGUACAUCGUCGCGGUGUGAGUUGUUCACUAUGUACACGACUACACGUACACGUGUACACGUACUGUACGUGUAGUCGUUUACACGCACAACGCGCGAAACACUUCCAUAAAUGAUCCGAUACAGUACAUAGCUACAUACGUUGUAGUCUAUUAUGUACAGUAAGUGUACAGUACAUACGUGUACACGUAUUGUAGUCAAACUACUACUACAUAUGUACGAAGGUAACACUCACGUAACCGGUCUACAGCUGUACAACGUUUAUCUACUGUAUGUACAUUCGUACGAAAGUACCUUCAAAGUACAACUACUUUCGAAAGUACUUUCGUACUUUCGUACGAAAGUACUUUCGUAUUACUACUUUCGUUCGUACAUGAAAGUAGCAUUGUAUGUACGUGUACUGUAUUACGUAUAAAAAUAUUGUACUUUCGUACGUUUUUUAUGUAUGGGACUCGUAGUGGUACGUGUACAAUAGAAUACUACACUAUGAUACUACGUGUACUUUUAUUCGGUUCAAAGGUGGAGAAGUUUAGCCCAAGUUCUGCGGCACUGUAACGCCGUGAUCUUUUCACCGUACGCCAGUCCUCCAACUUUCACGUCGAGAGCCGCCGAUACGCACGCUAUAUGCACGUCUGCAACGCGUGUUGGCGUGACGUGGACGAAGGCAACGUGUAUAUCACGCGUUGUGGUCACCAAUUCUGUGAGCACGCGCAGACGCCCUGUUCCUCCCUGUCCACUCUGUCGUCCUCACUUUCCUCGCCGACUGAUUUCUUCGCCCCCUUGGCCGCUCCAGGCAACGAAGACGCGACGAGUGUGGUUAACAGCGGUAUGUGUGCGCAUUGCGGCGCCAUUGUGAAGGACAUGAAGGCGAGCGACGUGCCUUGUCCGCUCCUUCUCACAGUUUUCGCCCGACCCAUGACUCGCCCCCACUUCCUCGCAGGCAGUGCCCGCUAACCCACCUCAGGACCACGGCGCUGAUGCGCUUAUCGGGAUGAGCCCCGAUCAUAUAAUGCGCGCGGCAUGUGCUGCGAUCGAUUAUUGGUGCGCGAUGCGCGAGGAGGUAUCGCGUGAAGCUCACCGACGUGCCGCGGACGUCGCCAUAAGAAACGAAGAAGGGUACAAACGCAAGCUGUGUGAAAUCCACUCCGCAUAUAAAAGAGCCAAGACGAAGCAGAACGAGCUGUGGCAACACUCGCAGGACCUGGAGGCGGACAAAAAAGAACUUCAGAACAAGUACGAAGUGAAGAGUCGAGAGAAGAACCGAAUAGAAGCCGCGAUGAAUGAUCUGCUCGUUCAUGGCAUACGUGGCCCCGAGGUUGUAGUGCCGCCACCAGCUGAGAACGUGCUCAGACGUUCUAUCUCAGAGUCUUAUGCUGCUAGCGGCUUACACAGACGCGAUCGAGAUGGGAAUGAAAGACUUGACUCGACGUUCAGGACCACGGAGGGCGGUAAUUCCCUCGAUCGUUCUCACGGCGGAGGCACAACACAAAACUGUCGACGCUGGUCAAGCUUUUCCAAGCCGUCGCUAUCCCGUACGCAUCUAGAAGACCACAACAGAAAUCCUGCUGGCUUCAGGAGCGGCGGUCGAACUAUUCGACCUUUUAAAGGAUUUCGUGAGAAUCUUGGGCAGCAGGGCAGCGGUGGUGGCAACUAUGCUAGCUUUCGCCCACAGUCUCCGUCACGGAGCAUCUUUUCGAUAUGAGUGAGGUUGGAAGUGAACGACUGAGUGCUCGUGUGCAAACACAGCAGAGGGUCUCUGCCAUCGCAAACGAUGAGAUAUGUAGAAACGUGAAAGGUACGAGCGCCGACGACGUGAUAUUACGAAAUCAAAGGACGAGCCCGCUUGCAAGAUUCUGCCCUACUCAAAACCGCUCCCUUCCUCGGCCUCCUGGCCCUUCCCCUCCGAGUAGCACUUGAGCGACCUGAUUUAUACCUGAAAGCCCCGCGCCAAACGCGCCGUAUACUGCCAUCGCACGUAACCCGUGCAUGCUCUUGUACAAUGACCCCGCUCCCGCCCCCGCGACUAGUGCAACAAAAAAAUCGUGCCCUACGCCGUUGCUGACGUAGUUACUACCAAAGGAGUCGAUCGCAGCAUAGUAUAAACCAAGGCACCCCCACGCGUUACCUAACGCUGUUCCCUUUGCCCCACCUGAGUUAAGUACCCGAUUCAGCUUCAAUUUGGUCGUAUCGUGCAACUCCGUGGCUGGGGUUCCGUUGAAGCCGAGAUACGCGCCGUAGGCGCCGCCAAACAGGGACCCACCCAGGUACCCUGCGCCUGUCAGGAAGGUCAAGUUUUCUGACCAAGACCUCCGUUUCAUCGUCCUUUCUUCGUCGAACAGAAACUCAGGGGAGUCGCUUAUAGCAUACAACGCUUUAGACAUGUUCGGGUCGAAGGGUCCUCCAAGACCAGUGUACGGAUUGUAUGGCAUCUGCGCCGAUCCCUCACCAAGUUUACUCAGGUCGCCUGCCAUCGCGGAGGGGGUUCCGAACCGCCCGGGAGGUAAGGGCUCGAGGUCUGAAACACCGCCAUUGUUCCCGGUAGCACUCGGCGUGUCAUCGCUCAGUGUCGUAUACCCAGAUGAAGAGGAUGCGGAUGCCGGUGUUUUAUUCACUUCCGGCGCACGGCGCACUCCGAGUAAGUCCCGAAGUCCCAUCGUGCUCGCGAAAAUCGGUGGACGAUCCGAUCCGAUCAGGGUUUACCAACACGCGUGGUGAACAGGGCGCGACAAGGGAAUGAGCAAAGGACCAAGUUAUUUUUAGAGUGCGCGGGUGAUUAUGCCGCAGGGUUCCGCCCGAUACGAGUGUGCCCGUGUGCGCUCGGCGGCUACGCCGGAAGCCCUUUGGCACGCCGCCAGUAAACUGAACCCACCAUAGAAGUUACCUUUAGGACAUACACUACUGUACGGAAGUACUUUCGUACUUUCGUACCUUACUUCGUAGUACGUGUAUGUAGUUGUACAACUACGAGCGAGUACGUACUCGUACGUACUUUCGAAAGUACUUUCGUACUUUCCUCCGUCCAGUAUAAGUACGGGUUUCGGUUGCGCCGUAUCCGCCUAUCAAUAUUUAAACUCCGCGCUUUGAAGCAUUUUAUUCGAUCCUUGCCUGCGAGUCGUUUCCGCAUCAAAAACCGCGAAAUUUUUCGCGCAUCGAGUCCGAAAUGACGGUCUAUAAACCAUAAACCGAGACCCGUACCUUUACUGGACGGAGGAAAGUACAUAGAAUUCCUUCGUACGUAGUUUUGAAGUACGCGUACGAGUCGUGUACGUGACUCCGCGUUACACGUACGUGUAGAUUUUAUUACAAAAAAACUGAGCUCUAACCACUCUCUUACCCAUCCGGGCAAAACAUGCGAACAUCAGCGAGCAAGAGGAGGACUCUCUUGUGUGCAGUGACUCGUCGAGCCCAAGUCGCGUGCGUCGGGUCGGUUACUGUACGCGUACACGUACAACUAUUUGUUAGUACACGUAACGCGUUGUACACGUACAGUACCUUCGAAGGUACGGAAAUAUUAUCAUUUACCUGUAACUUCCGUACUUCCUUCGUACUUCCGGAAGUACCUUCGUACACGUUUUGUAGAUUUGUACCGGAAAUGAGCGCCUCCGAUGCGCGUCGGUAGUUGGGAGAAGGGGGCAGGGCGCGGCAGCCUACUUACGUACUUAGUAUGAAAAAUACAAAAGUUCGUGUAUUGGUUUGAAAGUGGUUUUCAUCGGAAGAGUUCAUCGUCAGGUCCCGUGGCACGUUUUUGCAUACGGGGCUCCAAACGCAUUUGCUAGGCUGAAAUUUUCGUGCCUCCGUAGUACGUAGCUACGUACUGUACUUACGUAGGUCCGGAAAAAACCCUAGAUGGGAGAAGGUAAACCUUCUCCCAAACAGCUACACGUAGCCCUAGAAUAUCUGCCUACUUGGCGAAUUUAUUACCUUCAAAGGUAGUCAGCUACCUUCGAAGGUACUCACUACUCAGUACGCGAGUCGAGAACUGUAAACUGUGUUUUCUUGAGUUAAUCCCAGGAUCCCCGACCUUCUGAAAGGGAGGCUUUUUGUAGUCAGCUACCUUCGAAGGUAGUCACUAUCACUGCGUGUACACGUGUACAGUACGGGUGUACGAAAGCAAUUCCGUACGUUGUACUUCCUUCGUAGUCAGUCAGCCAAGAAAUGAAUAAAUAAAUAAUAAAAUACGGAAGUAUCAUACUACAACUGGGACUACUCGGGCUGAUUCAUGAGCACUUCAACUUCAUUCAGAAAAUUGAAAGUCGAGCAGUGCCCAUCAGUUGACGCGUUCUAUCCAUGCCCGCAUUUGCGUCCUUGUCCACUUCCCUGCCCGCCAACACGUCAAGUACAAUCUCUUUAUUCUUCUGCAGCACUCGCUUGUUCGUCGUCUACUAGAUAUUCUUAAUAUGUUACCAUAGUCUAUGGUUUGCGGAAGUACAUACAGAAGUAUAAAACGCUAUCUAACCCUACACGAGUACACGUGUAUUCAUAGGGCUAAAAACAAUAUCAUAUGGAAGUACUUCCGGAAAUACUGUACACGUACUUGUAGACUAAGAUAAGAGACUUUCUACGAGUACAUUAGCCACUCCAAGGUCAAAUCGCCACGUCAGGUUUUACCUUUCGUUUGAAUCCAGUUCGUACUACGAUGACGUCGUACGCUCGAUUCGAUCUCAUUGAAAUAGAAACGAGCUAGCACACGAUCUGGAAAUGACGGAGAAAAUUGCUCAGAGGCGAUUGACCUCCUGAAAACGUGUACGGAGGAACUUCCGGAAGUAUUUUCAAAGGUAAGCCAUACAGUAGGUGUAUACAGUGGACUGUAUUGUUCACGGCACCUUCAUAUUUCGUUGUACCUGCGGAAAAUUUCCUGGUACUUCCAGAAUUAUGGAUGUUCCCACACGUCGUGUACCUUCGAAGGUACGUUUGUUGUCAUGUGCAGUGCAGUGCAUUCUAACUCAUCCUGUCACAAGGCAUCAACACCCUCCGUGUAUGGGUUCCAAAUCCCAAAGAACAAUCUGUCAUCACAAAUUUGGCAGUUUCACAUGUAGGAUCAACUCGUUCAACCGCGGUUUGAGCGAAUAAAGCUGCCCAUACGUUGCCAGCCGAAAGGCACCUGGCUCUGCUAGCGUUAUACCAUCGGCGAUCAACGCACUUGUUAGAGAUUCUCUCCAACGCGCAGUCAGCUCCGGGGUAGCGAUGCCUGUGAAAGGCACCACCGCAAGGAGCUCACCACCCGCAAUUCUGACAGUAACAUUUUCUUGGUUUGACAAAGGCGGGUUGUUGACGCCUUUACCGAGGCUCAACUCCAUCGUCUUAGAGGAUAUCCCAACGCUAUUUUUGUCUUCUGGAUUUUGCACGUAGCGCAUGACAAGCGGCUGCGUAGCCCGAAAGGUUGUACCGCGUUCGUUCCCGCCCUCUAAAUAUCCCAUUAAUGAUGCGAUACCUUGCUCACGAUUGCUAUAAGGGGCGCAUGCAACGUAGUACGCGGCGUAAAUACGCAGCUCGUAGGUGUCCGUCACACGCAGGACCUGGUACGGUACGUCAGGGUUGGAGCGGUUUGUUGACGCUAGCAAGGAGAAGGAGCGGCGGUGCAAGGAUAUCGUGGAUGAACCCUGCCGUCGAUGUGGGUAUCGACGUGGAUGUGCAUGCGGGCAAGCGGAGGCUGGUGUAAGGGCAAUGCUGAUUGACGAGGUAGCCAUCGUCUACCCUUCAAACAGAAGCCGCGAUCGUCGGCUCCAUAGAAAGCACUUCCGUGCAUACCAGACGGAAGUACGAAGGUACGAAGGUACCUUCGUUCGUACCUUCGAUUCGUUCGUACCUGACGGAAGUACGGAAGUACUCUCGAAAGUACGUGUACUUCCGUAUCUAUUUCCGUAUGUAUCUUCGAAGAUAGAAUGAAUAAACCGUGUUAAGUACUACACGUACUGUAUGCCUUCGUAGCCCUGCCUACGGAAGUACUUUCGUACUUUCGUACGGACAUAGAUUUACUGUAUCUUACUUCGAACGUGCACGUACGUACGUGUACACGUAUUAAACAGUAUUAAACUACCAUCGAAGGUACUACUACAUACGCUACGUAGUACGUACCUUCGUACGAAGAUAGCUAGUUCUAGCUAGAUAAGUACGAAAGUACUUUAUUUAUUUAUUAGUCUAUUAAUAUAAACCCUGCCAGUAGUGCCCUGCCUACAACAGUCCUGCAACUACACGUACACUAUUACGGAAGUACUUUCGUACGGAACUUUCGUACUUUCGUACUUCCGUACUUCGUUCCGUACGUACUUUCGUACUUUCGUAUAGUACGAAAGUACGAACGAAGAUAAACAACUUAACUUUUUCGACUUACUGUACUUGUACACGUACGUGUACACGUACUACCUUCGUACAACGUUGUACACGUACAACUUCAACGGUUGUACGAAGGUACUAUUUUUGGAAUGAAGUACGGAAGUACAGUACACGUGUACAACUAAACGUACUUCGAAGUACGUGUACACGUACUGUAGUUGUACUGUACCUUCGAAGAUAGAAUAUAUUUAUUUACUUGUCUGUCGGUGUGCAGCUGUGUACACGUAGAUCUGUUUUCUUGUCUGUACACGUACGUGUACUGUGCACGUACGACUCAUGUCACGAUCUGAGUCAGUCGAAGUCGUACGGAGUACGAAAAUACAUCCUACAUAGUACUACCAAAUCAGGAACCUAGGCGAUGAGCGAUCGCGAGGUGACAAGGGUCAACGUGUCAAGUUCAAGAUAAACAAUCACAGAAUACGCGAAUGUGCCGAAAGGUAAUAGUGGAGUCUGGGAUAGGCCUGGGGCGAAUAGGAUCCAAGUAAGCGCACGGUAAUGCCGGAUCUAGUAAGCCACAGAGCUGGGAGCAACGAAGUGACGAAUCUGACAAGACCGUUUCGGAACGGUCUGAGUGGAGAACAGUAGAAGCAGCCGUGCCCGAUCGGGAGUGUAUCACCGAUGCGGGACACGAGCUGUGGCGGAAGGGGGGUGUUUCGCCCUUCGCGCCGUGCUGUUGUUCAAUCAAUAUUAAACUCACCACACUCUACAGUCUGAGUAGAAGUGAAGAGAAACAGGGUCUAAAAAGAGAAAAACGCUUCCUUGGAAAUACUUUCGUACUUCGAAAGUACCGAUUAGUCUCCUCGGAAUAUCGACUGAUUCGGAUGGCAGUACUGUAGCCGUACUGUAGUACGGAAGUACUUUCGUACUUCGUACGAAGGUAUGUUGAUAAAGCAGUAUCUAUUUCCGGAAGUAUUAUUAUUGCAGCACGUAGGGCUAUGAUACGAGAUCAUAAACUACUACUGUAUCUCACGUAUUCAUUGUGUACAGUUCUGUACGAAAGUACGAAAGUACUUUCGUACGAAAGUACAAUAAAUUUCGUACGAAGAUAGAAUAAUAAACAACUUUAUUGUAUGUACAACGUACAGUACUGUAUAGAUACCUUCGAAGGUAAGCAAGUAUGGACAACCUUGUAAAACGUGAACUGUACGUGUACGUGUACGGUUAAAUAAAGUUUACGUGUACACGUGUAUUAUUGUACGUAAGCUACGUAUGUACGUGUACAACGUCGUUACUUCCGGCCUCGACGAGUAGGUCGUUCACGAAAAGUGUACAGUAUUUGGGAGAAGGUGUACCGACGGCCGAAGCGCCGGAGGCGCUUAUAUUAGAGGUCAGGCCUGAAAUAUAACUGUUGAGGAUACACGUAGCCGUGCCUAGGGUUGAGGAUCUCCGUGCACGCCAAUCGAACGGCAUCAAAGUGUUUUUUUUCGAAUCAAGAACGUGAGGUAGUUUCAGAGUAUGAAAGCAACGGGUGCAGAGGUAAAGGCCGUCUCAGUCAAACUUUCUGGUGCAGGGAGAAGUCAAGAAGCGCCAGAUAAAGGCAGUCCAGACGAGACUUGUCCCAACAACCAACGGGAAUAUCUUUCUCCACCUCCAGUUCGUUCCGGACAGCAACCUUCGCCCGUGUGGAGUUUCCUGAAGCGUUUCACCCCUGUCAAUGCGAAGGGGCACAACAUCGAGUGCUUCGUAGAGCUUGCACAAACUGAUGGUUCGUAUAGACCAUGCGGCUGUACAAUAAAAUGGGGUGGUCCAAGUAGUGGUACUGCUAAUCUACUGACACACCUCAAGCGGCACCCUGCAGAGCAUCAGCUCUGCUUGGAGCAGAGCAAGCAUUCUGCACGUGCCCGUGAAAAAAUGACGAUUCCGGCUAUACACAGCGAUGAUACAACAACUAAUAAGUCCCUCAUACCUGGAGCGUGUCUGCAUGCAUUUUUAUCACAGCAACCACCAGCAGAGGUUGACCUCGGUGACUGUGAAGAAGACAGAUUUGUCACACUCUCGCAACUGCAGCACCAACAACCAACAUUUCCAGUAGAAGAAGCUUUCAGAAACUGUGGAGGCACGCGCUCGGGGAAAAUAAUCAACGAUCCUGUUCAUGGCCACAUGUAUUUUCCAGGUCUAGUUGUUGACGCAAUCGACACGCCCCAAGUACAGCGACUGCGCGAGCUGAAACAGCUCGGAACUGCAUACUAUGUUUUUCCUGGUGCAUCGCACAAUCGAUUUGAGCAUUCGCUUGGAACAUGCCAUCUGGCCACUAACAUGUUUGAGGCGCUUAAACGUAGCAGUGGAAAGUGCGGCAGUGCUUGCCUUGAUCACGUGGACAAGAUAUCAAUACAGCUUGCAGGUUUGUGUCAUGACCUGGGCCAUGGUCCGUUCAGUCACGUAUUUGACAAUGAGUUUCUUCCGCGGCGUUACUCGAAUUGGGAUCGAAAGAACCCUCUGUGGAACCACGAAGUGAUGUCGGCAAAUAUGUUUGAGUGGAUGGUGGACGAAAACCACAUUGAUAUAGGCGAAGACGUGGUGAAGCGCGUUCGUGGGCUCAUAACAAGUGAAGACAGCAAUGCUAUCACAGGGAAACGUUUUCUGUGGGACAUAGUUGCAAACAAGCGUAACUCUGUUGAUGUCGAUAAGUUUGACUACCUGAUGCGAGAUUCUCAUAAUGCUGGUGUCAAGGGGAGUGCUGACAUUUCACGCCUCGUGUCCUUCAUGAAGGUGAUUGAUGAUGAAAUAUGCUUCAAGGCUAGUGAAGUUCACAACGUUUAUGAACUCUUCCAUACUCGCGCUAGUUUGCAUCAGAAAGUUUACACGCAUAGGAAAGCCAAGGCAAUCGAGUACAUGUAAGGAAACCACGGCACGAUACUUUUCAUUGUAGAGGAGAGUGCUUUACUUUCAAAUUAAGGAGCUUUUAUUUGGUGUGCUCGGACCCUGUCAGUAGGGUAUGAUGGGGCCCAUUUAAAAUCACUUUUUUUUUGUUGUCCAUAUCUGUAUCGCUCGAUUAUCCUCGUGAAAUUGGCCGUCGUUCUACUUCGCGUUCCGUCAACUAAGUUUCUCUUUCUUUGUUGAACCAAUCCCUCAGGUUGUAGAUGCUCUCACUGAAGCUGACGUCAUAUGGGACAAUGAAAUAUCCAGUGCCAUCUGGAACACUGAACAGUUUAUCAAGCUCGAUGAUAGCCUUCUCAAGCGGAUUGAAUGGUCAGCGGAGCCUCAGUUAAAGCAUGCCCGGGCUCUAGUCCGCCGGAUCCGCUCACGUGAUCUGUAUCACUAUGUGAAUGAAUAUGCGGUUCCUGAAGAAGACAUCCUGAAUUUCAAACCUGUCACAGAGGUAAGUAUCUCAUCCUGCCAAGGACAUAACCGCAUACCGGGAGGAUUGAAACCAAACGAUAUAAUUGUUCAAAACAUGAAAAUUGACUACGCAAUGAAGGAUAAGAAUCCUGUCGAUUCAGUAAAGUUUUUCCAGGAUUACACAGAUGAAAAUUCAUUUCAUAUCGAUAAGAGCAAGGUAAGCGCUUUGUUACCGAGCAGUUUCAUUGAGCGGAAGGUCAGGGUCUUCUCCAAGAAUCGAGACCCGGUGUACAUUGAAGCUGUUGAAGAAGCCUUUCUUAAUCAUCAACGAAAGAUGUAUCGCACUGCGCAGCAACUUACCCCUGCUCGAAAGCGGUUGAGGAAUCGGUAAUGGAUUUACAUUUCUUUUUUUAUGCACUUGAGAUUUGCUCACUGCUCACUGCUCUCUAAUGUACAUAUAAGACUAUGAUACUCUUAAAUUAUGCCCCGCACGGCACUUACACAGCUUUAAGGUCACCCUCAGUCAUUACAGUCCCUCCGGCCAGAGUACCAAAUUUGGCAGUGUAUUCGUUUUAAAUUCGCAAAAACGUACGACAGUACUUUCGAAAGUACUUCUGAAAGUACUUUUGUACGAGCCCACGCGCAAGAAAGCGAUAAAGUUAAGCACCUUCAAUAAUAUUAUACAUGUUUAUAACUAAACUAUCAAGUUCAACUUAAACACUCUCUACUUAACCACUCUCUUCUAACAUCACGUUUUUUACACAUCUGAGGUUGUUCUUCCGUCGCAAGCAACUAUUUUAAGCUUGUCUAGGGUUGCGGUGGCAAUUUCACCACCAGCACCAGAUGUACUGAAGGUCACGUCACUGAGAAUGAAAGUCCACACGUUGUCGCAGAAACGAUAUGUUCCAAGGUUCCCCUGUUCAAUAAAUGUGGAUAUUUUUUUACAUUUAAAAUAAAGCGCGUGCCACCUUGAAUGUAGUUUUCGCUUUCACACGGUUUAAAGCUUCGCUCAUACACUGUAUGGUGUAGAAGAAUCAAGGUGAGCUCACGUGCAGUUGUGUAAAGGCUGCACAGGGAACCACACGUACCUUGUCGAAUUGUACAAGAACUUUCAUGGCAACCGAUGGAGUGAGUUCAAAAUUGGUCACCAUCUCGUCGAGUGCGUCGGUCAGGGUCAUGCCGAGUGUGGACCUGCGAUAAAGCUCGUAAUACUGAGCCGAAAUAUUCGUCAGAGCAUAAAAAUAACAAGAAAAAAAGUUGGUUACCGUCAUCUUCAAGUCGUCUUCAGGUGAACCGACACGGAUAUAAGUAUCAAAAGAGGGUGUUUCUGGCCUGCGGAGACGCAAUGAGGUAGAGCGUUCUUCGAUUUGAAUGCAACUUUUAAUGUGAUGUGAUGUGAUAAGGUGUAUGAUUGAUUGAGUUUUUAAGCUGAGUCCUACAAACCAUAGAUACUUUCGUACGAAAGUACUUCCGUACGAAGAUAGUAUGUACGAAAGUACCUUCGUUCGUACGGAAGUAUCUACGGAAGAUAUUCCACAGACUUUCCACACUAACAACUACAUACCUUCGUAACUUUAUUUCACGAAGAUAUCUUCGAAGAUAAUACAUAAUUACAUACCUUCGUAAUAAUAAUGCCUAGCUAUCUAUCUACUGUACACAUACACGGAAGAUAAAGAUAAAGAAGUACGGAAGUCCUUCUGGAAGUAAACAACUUACUUUCGUACUGUACCUUCGAAGUUGUAAAAUGGUACUUUCGUACUUUCGUACUUUCGAAAGUACCUUCGUACACGACUACACGUACACGUAUGGAAGUAUUUCCGGCGGAAGUACCUUCGAAGGUACUUCCGGAAGUAUAUCAUGAAAUAAAGAAUAUCUCCAGUUCCAUCCUAUUCUAGCUACGUUGUACUUCCGUACUAGUCUAAUAGCUAGACUAGCUAGCUACGAAGGUAGUCGUAUGUACGUAGCUACGUACAUAGCAUUAUAAGAAUAAUGGUGCUCUUCCGGUCAGGGCAACACAUGUGUACGACUGCGAGCAAACUCUCUUAGCGAGAAAAAGCGACUGGGGGUCGCUGAAAAAACUCGCGAGGGCGAAUAAUAGGGUUAAUCAUCUUUUCCGACGAGGCGGCAAGGUCAGAGCACCAAAAAAGGUCGAAACUGCUACAGUACUUCGACAUUGCUGCGGGGCUCCUGGAGACUAGCAAGUAGCCCUACACGUGCAGUACCUUCGAUGGUAGUAGUCUAGCUAGCUAGCUAUUAGCUAGCUACCUUCAUAGCUACACGUAGACUACGCAGCCCUUCCGGGCAAAUGUGACGUAUUCGGGCACGAGACUUUUUAGUCUGGAAAAAAUGCAAAUCGUCAACCGAGGUGGUCAUGACCAAAAAGUCAUACGGAACGACGCGGUACACGACGGCGGGAUGUGACGCCGGAAACGACGUGCGCGAUGCGCGCGGGUCUUCGACGCGCGUGAUGAAGCGAUUGCAUCGGUAAAUGACCGACGUGUCGACGUCCUGCCUCCGCGACCGCUGGUCGCCGUUGCCACGUCCAAGGAGAGGAAAAAACAGUUUUUUUUAUCGGGGCGAACAAAAACUUUCAACCCAUAUGGCGAAGUUUCAGCGCUGACGAGAAGUAUAUAAACUCUUGCGCGAUGGAAUCGUUGUAAGCUCAGAGUACUUUCAAAGUAAUACUGUAAGUUAGAUAGGCUUCAGGACCGCCUGCGACGUAGGAUAUCUUCAAGAGCGUCUACCUCAUCUGCAGACAGACUAGAAAGUGCAUCUAUGAGAACUUUGUCUCUGGAGUUUCGGCGCUGAGCCAAGUUUACUGAUGCUUGCUCAGGCUGCGGCUGCUCUUGAUCAGUCAUACUUUCAGAAUAUGUGUCCCCUUUCGCGAAGGGCUCCAUCCUCGAGCUCGAAUUAUCAGCCUGGAUGUUUAGGUACCCAUCAGGAAACACAGUAACUGUGUCCAAGGACAUUCGGGGGACCUCGAACAUUGCCUUGAGUUGAUCCGGGUAUCGUCCUACCGCGCCGCUAUCGAGUACAUCUUGUUUCAUGACCCGUUGCAAAGCAUUAAACGUAGAACCACCAGCGAUGUUCAGUUUGUUACGCUGUACAAAAUUACCAGAAAGCAUGCGGUUCUUCAAGCCUGCCGUCUCUUCUUUUUCAAGCGUGAUCUUUUCCAUCAAUACCUCGAGCUGCCUGCGUUCGGCACGCAAGACGCGGCCCGCCUCAGUGAGUUCCUCGACCCGGCCACGGCCCCAUUCGCCUGAAUCCACUAACCUGACGAAACGUUCGUUGUCCCUACGUAAACGCGCAUUUUCUUUUUGAAGUUCCUUGACGUGCUCCAUCGUGCACCCAGUGGCUUCCUCAACGCACCAUAUCCACUGUUUCCAUGCCCUGCGCUUAAUGCGAUUCCCGACGCGUAAACAAAUUAGCUCACACUGAUUACGUUGCAAGACCCUCGUCUCCACAAUGGAUGCCCAGCAAUUUAACACAGAAAAUAAGUUUCGAUGUUUCCAUCGGCAGAAUAUGAGUGCAGCUUUGCGCAAGAGCACGAUGUUGGACCACCAUUUCGCCCAUGCCCUAGUAAGAGUUCCCUGCACGAGCUUCAUCAACACGCGCUUUUUGGCAAGAUACACUGCUCUCCACUUUUCAAACGCACGCGCCAUUUUCGACUUUCGCAUGUGAAUAAUGAUGUGUCUGAUCUUGGCGCGUCGUUGCUUAUUUUCAAAGUUCCAGUGGAUCCAUUUCUGAAGCGCUCGAGAUUCUCUCCCGUGCGUCGCGCGUCGUAUCACUUGCCGCAUCUUGUUUCUCUUCGCCCGGCGUUUCCCAGAGAACUGGUGUAGCGCACUCCACGCUGAACGAACUCGUUUAUGAAUGACUUGACGUAAACCGGCUUUAACGAGCAACUCGAAGUACUCUUCCCUCAUUCGCUGGCUAUGCGCCACCAUGCGAAGCCGGCGUCUUCCAUCCGCAGCUUCUUCCGCCCACGCGUGAAAUGCCCGACGUUUGCGCCCGUUCCGAAUCACUGUGCAUAUUGCACGGUACAUGGUGCUUCCACGUUUUGCCUUCUUGGUGAUCUCUGACCAUUUUGAAAAAGCAGCCCAGAGUUUCCGCCGACGCAUUUUGGACAGCGCGCGUUGUAAAAUGUUCCUCUUCGCAGAUUGACCGGCGUUCACCAAUAACCAGCCGCGCCAUGCUUUGAAAAGAAUCCCACGCUCCAUUUUUACCACCUUGCGUUCAAAAACGUUUCGACUGAGGUCUAUAGCAUCCUGAACUUUAUUAGUCAUUCCGCUUAGGGAAUUCAAGUGUUCAAAGGCCAUUCGCACGGGAAGGUCUUCGUUUCUAUGAAUCUUACCAUCCAUGCCUCUGUGUGUCUCGCCGUACGCCUGGACUUCAUUCACAAGCGACUUAUACUCAGACCUACCAUCAAAUCUCGCAGGUAAUCCUUCUUGUUGUCGUUGCUUUUCCAGACCAUCAGUGAGGGACUCUUCAUCGGACGAACGGUGCAUGUUGCGUGUGGGGUAUCGAUUCUCAGUCCCGAUGCGUGUACGAGAUUUCCAAUUUUGAAAUUCGUCGCGAUCAAAGCUCUCCGACUCAGAUUCUGAGGAAGAGGAUUCAAACGGCAGCGUGUCCGAGCCACUGUCUUCCUUUUCAGAAGAGGUCGUUUUUUUCUUUUUCUUACUGGUGAGCUUGAGGUGCGGCACGCUAUUGGGACGUUCCGGAGAUGCUGUUGGUCGAUCUUCAAAUCUGUCCGAUCCAAUUUCCGCCACGACGUCUGCCGCCUCCUCUUCAGCAUCGUUUUCUUGCUCGCUGGGAUAGGCCGAAGACUCGCCUUCCUGCCCACUUGCCUCUUCGUGGUUCGCUUUCUCGCCUUCGGGCUCCUGUUCAAAUGCCUCCUCCUCGUGUUCCAUAUUAAUCCCAGCGAGAUCGGGGUCAUCGUUCGUGUUAUCUUCGAAAUUCGACCCCUCUCCGUCCAACAUCUCUUCCAUUUACUCUGUACACCUCUGCUUUCUCGCAACUUGCCGAAUUCGUCGGUGUUCUUUUUCUUGAAGCUAUGCCCUGGCUUCCUCACUUGAUACUUUCAAAACGUGACUCUCUUUGUAGCUUGUUUCUAAUGAGGAAGGAAGUCGGGGGUAUGUGAGGUUAGCCGUCGCGUUCGAGUUUGUUGAGAAGCCACAGGAAAAAAACGCGUGUUUCUGCUGUCGAUCAAACCUAACGGGCAGAUUUGUUUCGCUGCACAUAGGUUCGUGCAGCCUCUGUGCCACAUUUUAUGCAUGAAUAGGCAGAUAGAGGGAUUCAACCGAGAGACGCGCGUUGAUCGCGGACCUCGAAACGCUCGAAGUGUUGAUUUUGCUGUGGUCGCGCUGUUGUAUUCGAGUCCGAUUUCCGUUUGUUCUCAGAAAACAAUUUUCAUGAAAAAUAAUUGAUUGAUGCGGCUUCUUCGGGCAGCUGCAGGUGAUAUCCUUUGACUUUUUCAAAUAAACUCUUGUUAACCUGACACUGAGACGUGCAAGACUAGACUGCUCUAUCAAUGACUUUACUCAGCGGCGCGGCGGGCGUAUCACGAGCGUGCCACAGAUUUCGUUUAACGGCUCCAAUAAAUAUUUACAACGGCUCCAAACACGUACGGAAGUACUUUCGUACGUAAAGUACACGCACAUACAUCAGUCAUACAGUACUACAAUGUACUGUACCUUCGUACGAAAGUACAUCAUUAUUUAUUUCCGGAAAUAAAAGUUGUUAUGAAUAGAAUAAAAGAUAAUAUCAUACAGUAGUUGUACACGUACUGUACACGUACUGUACAAUAAACAACUUAUCUUCGAAGAUAGAUAUUUAUUUUCGUACGUAUCUAUGGAAGUACAAACGUACUUUCGUACUUCCGUACUUCCGUACUGCACUACGUACCCGUAGGGCUACGUGUACAGUACAGCUGUACAGUGUACACGUACAGUAUCAUAUCACCGUUUGCAGAGUCUAUUGUAGAUUUCGCCAAAAAUUGAUACGUACUGUACGUGUACAACGUACAGUAAUGGAAGUACACGUACUUCCGGAAGUACAAUAAUAGUACGAAAGUACUUUCGAAAGUACGAAAGUACCUUCGAAGGUACUUUCGUACUUCCGUACAACGCACAACACUGUAUGUAGCUAUGUACCUUCGAAGGUACAGCUGUACACGAUAGUACACGUAGUUUUGAAGAACGGAAAUAGAUACGGAAGUACGAUAGUAUCAUACUUCCGGAAGUACCUUCGAAGGUAUCGAUAAACGAGUGUUACGCAAGGAUCUAUGGAAGUAAACGACGUUCUCGUGUAUCGUGUACUGUACCUUCGUAUGAAGCUAUGAACCAUUCGGUUCAGAAUUGUCAGAUUGCAACGUUGUACUCGUAGUGAGGUUGGGAAUUGAAAUUUGAAGUGCUACACGUGCACGUGUACAACGACACGUUCUGUCCAGCUUGGGCCUACACGUGCGUGUACACAUAAAAUGUUUAUUUAUUUAUACGAAGUUCAACUUAGAAUAACAAUGCAGUUUUUGAAAAUAACUGUUCGUGUACGUGGACGUGUACACUAUUUUCGAACGUACUUCCGUACUGUACUCUAGCUAGUAAGAAAUGGGUUGUCUUGGAAAUGUGUUCACCAGGCAAUGAACGGACAUUCUCUGAAUCAGCCUGAGUCGAUGCCUCUCGGUGACGCGACAUUCAUGAAAGGUUGAUUCAAAUAGGACAGGAGUAGAGAAUUCAGGAUGCGCGCUGACUUGAACUGAAAUAUCUCUGAUUAUUUCGUCGAAGUUUUCAAGUUACUCAGUGACUAAGUCUGAUUUGAUUGAUCAGUGAGCCAAGUAUAAAAGUGAAUUAAGCUGGAAGUGUAAAUCCUUGUUAGUAUCGACUGUUUCGGGGAGCACUGAUUCUAAAUCGCUCGCCGCAAAUGUGAAGUAGCGGCAGAAUUCUUUUUGGAAUGAAAAAGUGCCCAACUCGAAUUAAGUUUGGUUGAAAUUCAACACUAAGUGCAGUUUUUAGCUUGAGUCCCCGAAUCCACUUCUAAGACUUCCAUUAUGCGGUCUUCCGAGACAUUUUACGCAACAAAUUGCCCAUCUCUUCGCGUUUCUUCUUGCCUCGAAUGUGCGUGCCGAGCUGCAAAAAAUACGGAGUUUUAGGAUAGAUAAAUAGAAUCCUCAAGUAGUUUCCCAGUUCGCAAGGUAAAUUGUUUUUUGCUUUCAACGAGAGAAGAGGCGUUAUCGAGGAAAUACGUGAUGCCUGGGCGUAUUCUUCAGGCAACCCAUACGGUUGAUACCAUGCGGGAAGCUUUACGAGUAGAAUGUUGCCAAGGCUAAAACGACCAUAAAAGCGAAACGAAGGAUCUAGUGCACGGCGGCGCUUGUCGUGAAACCCUAACGUUAGCGCUUACCUUUCUCUUUGCUAGCUUGAGUGCUCGCUUAUCUCUGCCCACCUUCAAUAGCUCCAUGAGCCGCUUCUCAUAUGGAGCGUUGCCGACCACAUCGCGAACGAGCUCCCGGAUCAUUUUUACACGCUUUCCAAGCCUCUGUGGAACACACGUAAGAUAACAGAACGCGUGUAGAAACCCGAGCAAAAUUGGUUGUUGGAAAGCGCACCCCCUUGCGGCGAGCCGGGCGUGCCGCGAGCUCAUGCUUGGAAACCACGUGACCUUUCUGGAGGCCAACGGCGAUGCCUUUCAUAUUUUCCGAUAUUGAGCCUUCCUGUACCCGUGAGUAUGGCUUCCAGUCGUUAGAGUGGUGCACCGGUACUUCUUUGAAGCGGAAAUAAGCCACUCGCACUCGCGACAGUACGUGUACAGCUGUACACGUGCGUACAGGCUGUACACGUACACUAUGAAUAUGAAGCUAUGGUUUCAAAAACGACGUAUCGGAUAUUCUACAGUACACGUAGCCCUGAGUUGUAUCGAACAUUUAUCUAUCUUCAUACGAAGUAGUUGUACCUUCGGAGGUACGGAAAGUACGAAGUACGAAAGUACUUUCGUACUUUCGUACUUCCGGAAGUAUUCUAUCGUCGUACUCGUUUUUGCUCGAGAAAUAGUCAGAAAAUCGCGCUCUUACCAUUUCAACUUUUUUUGCUUUCAGCGUUGAUCGAUGACUUAAUCAAACCAUAGAAUUCAUCGCGACUUUUUCAAGGAUACUUGACCGAGGUGCAACUUCAAGCGCGUGUAGCUCCAUAACACCGACGAAAACGUGCGCGAAAUCACGACCGCGAUGAGCCCUGAUGAUGGUGAUCACGGCGAUGCGCUUCUUUUUUAGGUUUUCCCCGGCGAACAAAACCAAAAAAAAAAUGAAAAUUGGAAACCUACUGUACUGUAUGAUAAGGCAAGGCUAUGAUAUGUCGUACUUAUUGUACAGAUAAAAAAUAUUAAUGUUUGAAAUCAAAAAUCAAUGUCUCGCGCUGUAAUCUCGGAUUCGUAGCUUUUAUGUACAAAAUCUCGUGUAUGCAAAUCAGUCUCACUCAAAAAAAAUAUGUACACGGUUCAUCGGCUUGAACCCGAGCUUGACCGUUUAGUCUAAGUCUAAAACAACUUAUUAUGUACGGAAGUACAACUACGGAAGUACUUUCGUACUUUCGUACGAAAGUACUUCCGUACAUGCACUAUCGAAAGUACGAAAGUAGUUGUACUUCCAUAAUAGUACGGAAGUAUGUAGAUAACAUUUUUAUGUUAUACAGACAACGAUAGUACUUUCGUACCUUCGUACGAAAGUACCGGUUGUACAACUGUUUUACGUGUACAGCUGUACACCACCUGUACACGUGUACAGCUGUACAUCACCUGUACAACAACGUUGUACUGUACACGUACAACGUUAAAAAUUAGUUUCCGUUGACUUCGAACAAAAUGAGCGCGAAACACUUCCGUUCGCACCUUGGUUCAAGAUGGCCGACACACUUACAGACGAGCAAAUUGCAGAGUUCAAAGAAGCUUUUGCCCUCUUCGACAAAGAUGGCGACGGCACUAUCACAACCAAAGAGCUUGGAACCGUGAUGCGUUCCCUCGGGCAGAACCCUACAGAAGCCGAGCUUCAAGACAUGAUCAAUGAGGUCGACGCCGACGGGAACGGCACGAUCGACUUUCCUGAGUUCCUAAACCUCAUGGCUCGUAAGAUGAAAGAUACCGACUCCGAAGAAGAGCUCAAGGAGGCAUUCAAAGUGUUCGACAAGGACGGCAACGGCUUCAUCUCCGCUGCGGAACUUCGUCACGUCAUGACUAACCUUGGGGAAAAACUCACUGAUGAGGAGGUGGACGAGAUGAUCCGCGAAGCUGACGUUGAUGGCGACGGCCAAGUUAACUACGAUGAAUUCGUGAAGAUGAUGAUGGCGAAGUAGGCUGCGUCGUUUCCUUGUGAAGGGUUCACUGUGCAGCUUUCGCGUUUUUUACUGUUCCCGGCAAACGGGUCAACUUCGCGUCGAAAGUUAAUUGCUCAGCCCGGUCCUUCCGAGCAUGAAGUUCUUUUCGUGAAGUGUAGAUUUUGCAAGCCGGACGAAUCGUGUUUACAUGUUAGUUUAUCCUUUCUUACAGGUCGGUGCGAGUCGUGAGGAUAAGUCAUCGCGAGGCUUUUGUCGGUUUUUCACACUCGAGUCGGCGGCAACAAUUCGAACUUUACAAUACGUUAGGUAGUCCUCUACGUAAUUCGAAAAAAGCCACGUAAAAAACGUACUCGUGACUAAAAACAUGUACAAAAAUGUACGCGCGAACACCCGCGCGCGAAACCCUACUCCUCUGCCAAAACUCCUGAAUACGAGUACAUUAGUACUUUCGUACGAAAGUACUUUAAAGUACGAAAGUACAAGUACUUUCGUAUCAUACGAAAAUAGAAUAUCUAUUUCCGUAUUAUUAAGUCUUCCGUACAUGUACUGUACUGUACACGUACACGUACCUCCGCUUUUUUUGUGUAAAAUUAGGUGAAAUAGUGUGAUACUAUUAAGCUUGACCGACUGCGUCGGUCAAGGUUCGUUUCACUCACCCUUAAUAAUAUACAAUUUGAACCUAAUUUUACACAAAAAAAGCGGAGGUACGACGAUGACCGCUGCGCGGUCAUCGCUAAAUUAAAAUCUCAGGAGAAGGUGAGAAGGUCUCGUCAGGCGGGUUUCUCAAAGGUCUCAUGUUCCCGUCGCGCAAAAGCCUUUAGGGUUUUUGGGGCGCGAAAAGUUUAGGGUUGGCGCGCACGGCCAUUGUCGGUCUGUGUGCGAAGUUUCAUGGAAAUCAGUUAAGAUUAUCAUGCGUUUCAAGGGGUUCGAAGGAUGUCUCGGGAGAUCGCAUUUAUUUUUUGUGUGCAGAGAGCUUCCGGAGAAAUGUCCCGACGACUGGUACCGACCGACCGCUGGUUAUUUAAAGCACAACGUGAUAACUACAGGUAGUUUUUGGUCUCAUUUUGGUCUAAAUGACUAAAUGUAUUAUCGCGUGUUGUCUAAAAGGCCCAUAACUUUACGCAAGUCUCCAAAAUGAGGCUUUGUUUAAGAAGCCUGUUUGAGACCUUUUUGAAGACCCCUCGCGGCCGCAACCUUCAUGGACUUCUAUAGAACCCUGUGAGAUUUAGCCUACGGCAGACCUUCACAAAACCAUAUAGAAACCUCACGCAAGUUUCUGGGAACUUCUGUGAGAUUUUGACGGGUGUUUGAGACCUUUGUAAAUAUCGCUUGAACUGGCUGUUCCCAUUUCGCGAAAGUUCCGUGAUUUAGAUAUAGCUCCUACGACCUCCACGACUUUUUAUAACGCCCGUGGAAUAAAAGUUCCGUCAUUUAGACAUAGCUCCUACGACUUCCACGACUUCCACGACUUUUUUUGACUUAUUACACUCUCCCCCCCUCCCCCCCUAUGCCCUCCCUCUCCUUGAAAAUAUUAACUUAAAAAAAAGUCGUAAAAGUCGUGGAAGUCGUAGGAGCCUUACGAAAAUGAGACAGCACGACUUUUGGGGUCGCUUGACGAAAGUCGUGGAAGUCGUAGGAGCUAUGUCUAAUUUAGACCAAUUUGGGGUUCGCUAUAAAAAUAAACCCCUAUCUCCACAGACCCUCCACCGAACCUGUUUGAAAAGAACUGACUGAAGCUGUUUUCAAACACACUAUCAAAAUUGGUCUGUAGACACUAAGAAAAAGUAUACCUUCAAACUACCACUGUUGAUUUUUGGCGCCAAAAUCUUUUUGACGAUCCAACCGAAGCUUAGUGGCCUGCGCAAGGUUGACCUGCGUGUUUGACCUUUCAACAAAUGGCCCAAAACCAGCAGUCUACCCGUCAAGGGUGCCACUCAAUCUUCUCGAGCGAGUCAAAUGCACAGCAAACACGUUUGGCAUUCGGAAACCUCCACGGUGGACCUCGUGAGGGAUCUCAAAGCGACCUUAGUUCUACUGACGAUAGCAGUGAUACUUAUCUCUGCCGCGAGCUUGUCGGACGUGAUUCUGACGCAACGUGCAUUCAAGCGUACCCGAACCCGCGCAGUGUAGAGGACGAGCUAUCACUAGAAGUCGUCCGAGAAACAUGCCGCGAGAUCAACGGUCUAAGGAGAGGAAUAUCCCGACCAGGCAGGUUCGACCCAACGCACGAAAAGCGAAAGAGAACCGUCACGUUUGAAACGUAUGAAACGUGUCCUUGCAGUAUAUGCGGUAUUGUAGACGCAGGCGAAGGCCUGGUUUGUGAAGUCUGCGAUAAGCUUGUUCAUCUGUCGUGCAUGAAACCACCGUUUAGUUGUGUUCCUGACGAUGACUGGCACUGCCUUCAGUGUCGAGAACAGUUUGACUUUACAAAUUUUGGGGUGCAGGCACCGUGCAUGCUUUGUGGUGUAGCUGACGACAGAGACGGCCUGGUGUGUGAUAGGUGUGAUACCGUGUAUCAUCACGAAUGUCUCGGUGACACUGUCGCCGCACGCGCUUCGGAAAAGUGGUUCUGCAGCUCUUGUCAUGACGAAGCUUAUCGUGAUAAGAAGAUAUCUUCUUUCACGAGUCGCCUAUGGGAGGGUCUUGAUGGCCAGACUGGGCCUGCGUCACCAUGCAUGAAGGAAUUAUUAUCCGCGAAAGAAGGCCCGUCUAUCGUUUCUUGGCUCAAAGAUGGAGAAUUCCAAUUGCGCUAUGCAUUAUACCUUCCUGUCGUUAAUUCGGACCAGGUUUUUGAAGUUGUGCACGCUGCUUCAACGCCUCUGUUCCAGCGAUCCUUAGCAUGUAUUAAAAAGAACGUUUUCCUGCUAACAGGCAGUCAAAUGGACAUACCUCCGCGAUAUUUGUGCUCAAUCGAUACCCCCCCGAUGGCCACCCAUGUUGGAUACAACCGGGACUGGGAAUUGCCUAAAGGUUGCGCUGCAAUAGUUCCCAUGGCCAUUGACGUGGAAUCCAUGUCUCUCAUCGAUCUGCCCAAGAACAUCCUUGAUGUGAUCUCACCGGACAAUUGCUCACAGCAUCACCCCUUGGCCGACAGCUCGGGCCUAAAUGUAUGCGAACUUUACAGUGGCAUUGGUUGUUGGCUCGAUGGUGCGCGUCGCAGUGGAAAACUGAAGUUUGGCAUGGCAGUCGAAAGUGAUAGCGAAGUUGCGCAAGUGUCCAAGGACUAUUUACAAGGUUGUGCAGAGAUAAUCAAUGAAAAGGUGGAAGUUUUGGUUGGUGCAGAGGGACACUUCUGUCGAAAGGGAAGUUCAGCUGAGCAUGCACUGGAGUUUAUAUCAAAAUGCAAGCUCGAUUGCAUCGCCGGUUCUCCCCUUUGUGAGGGAUUCUCGAACAUGAACAGACAUCACCACAGUCUCCGAUCAAAGGAAAAGCGCUGGCAUUUGAGACAUUGGGGACAGGCGGUGCUGAAAUUUACGCCAGCAUAUGCCCUAAUGGAAAAUGUACCCGAAGUUACAUCCGGCCGGAAUGAAGAACACCUUUGUACGCUGCUAGCCCUUCUGGCCAUGACAGGAUAUCAGUUGCAGACGUACUUGCUGUCGUGCAGUGCCUUUGGGGCAGCCAGCACCAGAACUCGUUUUGUGCUGGUAGCAACACGAAGAGGUAUUCCUGUUCCUCCACCGCCGAGACCAACGCAUCGGUGUUUUUCAGUAGGUCGGCCAGAAUGCAGUGGUGUGCGUUGGGCUCUUGCGAAAGGUAAACCGAGCGCAUAUGACGAGCAUGACGAUGAAUUACUUCCACCGGUCACGUUACGAAGGGUGCUGUGUGAUUUAGGGUCUCCAACAGCACCACCACGAGAUGCGUCAUUACCUGGUGAUCUUCACGCUGAGCGGAAAGAACAUGAAAAUGUCAGAGCUCUACUCGAUGCGCUUCCAAUUGAUGAAAAUGCAUGCUACGCAAAUAUCAGAGCGAAGAUCAGAAAAAAACAUCCCAUCAGCCGUGCAGAGACUGAUAUGAAUUCGGGCGCAGAAAAGUUUGCUCAGCUCAUCUUCAGGCGUCUAAACCCAGACAGGCCAGCCUGUUCUUUUACGACGCAGUUCAGACCUGAUGGUUUCCAAGGACGCGUUGUCCAUCCCAAGGAAGCCAGGGUUUGUACUCCCGCCGAGGCACUCUCUUGUCUUGGGUUCAAGGUUUCCAGCCUUCCGCAUGCCAAGUUGAGCAUCGGCCACAGGUUGGCAGGUAACGCGUUUUCACCCCUUGUGACAAAGGCUAUUUUUGACGCAAUCUGUACCCCUUUGGAAGAUCGCAGUCUAGCUACGGAAAAUACGAACUCACGUGCCUUGUAGCUUGAAUUCCUCACAACUGUCCUUCUGGACCUUAGCCUGAGCUGUCCUUCCGAGCACGAAUUCUGGCAUGUGUAUCGAAAAAUCGCAUACCCAACUGCCACGACAGAGACAACGGUUGUUGGAGUCAGUCAUGUUGGAUUUGUUUGCGAGCAAGUCACCUGGAUCCAAAGGGACAUAACCGUUUCACCCCUGUCGCGCGCUUACAUUCUCGAGGAUUUUCUGUGGUGAUAUUCCGCAACGCACUGCCUUGAAGUGCCUCUUUGCCUUCGUCUUGCACCUGAACAUACCAAGUGGCUCACGUCAGAGAAGAGUCAGCGAAAAUUCUAUGAAGCAGGUACACUCACCAAAAGUUUAACGCGUAGUUCCCAAAGCUUUGCUGCGGUUUCUAUAUCACCGUCGUCGUGUUCAAUUCGAUGUAAGUAGUUCUGGUUGUCGAAAGCAGUGAUAGUCGCGGGAUAAAACUUCCUAUCAACGUGCCAAUAUAUUUCUAUACGCCGGCCCACUGCUUUCUCUCGCAGCAAGGCAAGUUGGGCGCCGAUUGAACCUUUCUUUGCCGCUGAGAGUACCUGCAAGCAGUGCGCAAUAAGUAAACGCACGAGUGAUGAAGUAACCGGCAAAUACCCACCCUUAGUUGAGGACAGCCAUGGCCUGAUCGCACUCCUUUCAGAGGCGAACGGUUCUUUUGUCGAGUGCUUGCUCGUGGGAUGUGUCGCUCACUGAAUGAACUGUUUUGCGACUCGUGCUUUUUCGACUGGCAAAAGAUGCACACACCGCAAGUCGCUUGCGGUAUCUCGCUCAAGUUUCCGAUUUUCCGGCGAAGUUUUUCUGCCUCCUGAGCGUGCAACUGACGUAAACGCAUAUCAUACACGUUUUCAAGAGCCCUGUCUUGAUUGACCUGCCACUCCAAAGCCAUCUCUACUGCCUUUCUAUACUUCGCUCUUGAUGCAAGCAAUGGCUGCAUUUCAAGCUCAUCAAAAUACUCACAGAAGGGGAGUAUUCCAUCCUUAUUCAUCCACUCAUAAGACUCCUCUGCGAAAUAUACAACCAUUCUAUGUGAAUCAGACGUCUGACCGGGCUUUAUCUUUUCUAUCGCGUAGCUUGGAAUAACGUCUCGAUCCUCGUCCAGAUGCAGAGCGAUUCCAGGCCAAAAACACGCCGUCUUGCUAAUUUUUGUGGGGAUCCAAACAACCUUCCCGGCAUGCUCACCCUCAGUUUGCUCUGCAGAAACCUUGGGUUUCGGUGACUUUCUUUGUUUGGCGUGUGGCGUGGCGGGAACACGUAUCCCAAAGGCGUGGGAGACAAACGGAUCCAAGUUUAUGCCGUGUUCCACAGCACGCGAUACGAACCCUGAAAGUGCAUCGGGAUCGACUUCUUGACGUGGUGCUGAAGACAGAAAUUCGCCCAAUGGGGUAAAUGAACAAAUCUCUGGUGUCUCUGCCACGCGAGGCAGGCCUCGUCUGCCACGCCAUAAUAAACCACUUGGGUCAUGGGUAGUGGACAAUUCGAUAUUUUCGGGGCAAGAAAUGAUAUUCCAUGCUGCUGAAGGCCAGGCGUGAAGUUGAGUGUCGUUCUCGUGACUUUCUGUCGCAACACUCGAAAGCCUGGGAACUGGCUCAGAAAACUUCACCCCUUCACAUUCUCGGGAAAACUUAAUCUCAUAAGGGCUCAUGAGUCGUUGCCCUAUCCAGUAAGCCUGCGGUACUGAGACCGCGCGGCCAAGCAAUUCCAUUCGUUUGAUAUAGCUCGAUUGAGUAUUGGCCGCUCUCAUCCACGGACGGCCAGGUAUCUUGAGAGGGAAACAAGGCUCUGUCCAACCAACUGGGAAGCCACUUAACCGCUCGGCAUCUUCGACCUCAAACCUGAAAGCACGACCUUUACCUUCACCUAGAUCUUCCACCAUGCACAGACGUCUCCCAUUUGACGCAGUCAACGUGCAUAUUUCAUGCGCUAGCGGACAAAAUCGCUUCUCGGCAAGGUCAACACAGGUGACGGAUAUCUUUGGUGUGACAUGCGGAGGUGUCAUGAAGCAGUCAUAACACUCAGCAGCAGAUCUUUUGUCACCGUCUGUUUUGCUCACAUCGAUGCACUGUCCCUUACAUAUGCUCUCUGUCGAAAGAAUUACGUCUCGAGGAUCGCCAUGGAGAGAAGCGACGAUGAAUACGCGACGGCGUCGCUGCGGUAAACCAAACGCAGAUAAGCUGACAACGCGGUGGGCCCAGCUGUAACCCAAACUUUCUAGUUCUUGCACGAUGUAUGCUAUCGCAGGUUCUUGAGGUGGAUCACUGGCAAGAUGCCACGUCAGCAAGCCCGGAACAUUUUCCAAGAGAACCCAAGGCACGCGAGUUCUGCGAAGCAGGCGAAAAAUAUGAGAACACAGUGCGGUGCGCAUACCAUCUCGGAGACCUGGCCGACUUGGGUUCAUCGUGCUGACGUCCUGUGAAGGCAACAGAUAACGUGGUAAUCGGGGAAAAGGAAAGAAGUGUGCCGGACCUCGCACGGGAAUCCUGCAGCGAGCAAUUGCGCUCCUGCAGGAAGGUCUGAAAGCUCAGCUACGUCGCGACGAAGUUCUCUUCCAGGAAAGUGCCGCUGUAACACCUGCAAGCAGUGAGGAUCGUUCUCUACUUGCAUGAUGACCUCGUGCCCGGCUUCUUCUAGACCUAGGUCGAGACCACCUAUGCCGGAAAACAAGCUGACGACCUUCAUACCCGCGUUGAAUAGCGAGUCCGUGCUCUAUUUAUGGAAAGAAGGACAAGGUUUGCUUGAAGUCGUGCCUCUGUGGCAGCCCUGAAAGUACUUUCGUACGAAAGUACGAAAGUACUUUCGUACGAAAGUACGAAAGUACGAAAGUACUAAAGUACCUUCGUACGUUUUACUGUAUGUGUACGUGUACUACAUUCGUACGAAGGUACGAAAGUACUUUCGUACAAGUUACUGUACACGCACGUAGGUGUACUCGUAGUCUAGACAUGAAUGCAAUUUAUCGAUUCGUCUGAUAUUUGAACACAGAGCAACACGCCCUGUCGGGACCAACGUCCCGCUGCGAUCGCGCACACGUGGCGACGACUUGUAUUUCGCGCAUUUUUUUAUAGGAUGGCAUCGCAUGCGAACACCCCGCAAGUCUCUUUCACAACUUUCGCAUUCGCACGCGGAAAAUCUAGCGCGAAACAAACCACGAUUGCGAAGCAACGCUCCGUAGCCGACGCACGUCUUGUCUUCAACGUGGCUUCCCACCGCGGGCGUGCUCUGGCCUCGUCUAUUACUUCGGGGAUUCCCGGAGAGACCGCUUCGGAUUCAUACCGCGUCGUCAAGCUCACGUUUCCCAUGCCGCGAGGAGAGUGGGACGGGAUCGAAGGCGUCGCUGUGGUCGUCGGUGCCGGGGACCUCCUCGGUGACUGGGACCCUCUGCUCGGGGCAGAGCUGCACAAGGUCAUUCGAUCAGAUGACAGACCUGAUGGUGACGAGAGUUGGAGCGGACUUGUCGCCCUUCCUGAGGCUGCAGUCGGGGAUUUCAAAGUCGUCGUGCGACGCGCCGACCGCGUCGACCUGUGGUCCCCAGGUCCAGAUCUUGUUCUCCCACCACUUGAUAGUCUCUACUUUCCAGACGGGGCCGAAGACUGUAAUGACACUACGUCUUCCGCAUCAAUAUCGACCCUGGCAAACUCUGGUACUUUUCACUCCAACGCUGUCUCCGCGCCAGCUCUGAAGAGCAAGAUGAUCUCGGUCGAUCACGUCUUAAGAGGUGAAGAAGUUCUUGCAACUGUCGUGUUUCGCGCGACCUCAAAGCUUGAAGUUGGGGAAUCACUCGCCCUUGUCGGUUCAUUGCCUGAGCUUGGGGGAUGGAACACCGAACGCAUCGUCCCAAUGACAUGGACUGACGGGGACGUAUGGAGCGCAGCUGCACUAUUUGACGCGUUUUCGGUUUUCGGUGCACUAGAUGAAAACUCUGCUGCUGCUUGGGUUGACUUCAAACUAGUGAAAGUUGACCAUCGAAAUGGAACAUCGAGUAUCAUAUGUGAGAGCGAAAAACUACGCGUGAAAAGACUGACAGACGCGCGAGCACCUCUUCACGCCUGGCUUUCGAAUGAAAACUUCGCUGCAGACGUUGGUUUGGCAUGCGGUGACCCGAACGGAGUCGUCCCGACAGAGGAAGACUCAAGCUGGAUCGGAACCGUGUCAGUGGAAAUUUUAGGCGCCGGUUGCAGUCCCGUGAACUCGGGAGUUAUUCUGCCCAUGUCCGAAGUUUCUAUGGUGCCUAGCCCUGCCAGAUCUCAGGCAGCGGUGCAUCGAUAUGAUACAGACGCAACACAGAAGACUGGUGCGAUUUCUUCAAAGGACACUGCGCCAAUUAUCUUUUCUCUCGACGAAAAUGGGAACCUUAUGCCAAGGGUGGACCAUCAACCCCCCACGGUUGCCACCGCAUCAGAGACCGUCGACGCGCCAGAGGAAAGGUCUGAUCCUGAACGGCCACCCACUUCACCACCUACACCCAAAAAUGAGCUGGCAGCAGCGGUUGCCGAUGACCGGUUUGUGAACGCGAAUCCAACACUCAUUUCGUUCGCUGUGAACAAACAUCUGAACGACGGCGAGAAACUCAUAGUCGUCGGGAACAUCAUCGAGCUUGGUGGAUGGAACGCAGAGUCUGGAUUAGAAAUGACGUGGAGUCCCGGAGAUAACUGGACUGCGUUCGUCGAAGUUGCUCCCGACCAGGCUAUAUUCACUGGCGAACGCGACACAAACUCAAUCGAGUUUAAGCUCGUGACAGUAGAUGAAUCCAGCGGUUGGCUCGCAUGGCCUGACGGUAGUAACUACGUGUGCACUUUAAACGCUCCAGGUUGCUGCUAUGACGUCGGUGUCGGCGUGAGAGUUACGAUGACAGAGGCUGUCCCAAGCAAAAUCGUUGAGUUGCACGCGUCAAGACAAGAAUUCCAUGGUGAGAUAUCAAGCGGAAUGAUCGAAGCGGACCUCAUUGCGGCGGAGGUCGAAUCACUCGUAGAUAACAUGCAAUCACAUGAUGCGUCCGAGUUCACUGUUUACGACAUUGAUUUGUCCGAGGAGGUCAUGCUGAUGCGUGCUGCACAGGCGAGGUUUGAUGAUGCCACCGCGACAGCGGCAGAUGCAGUGAUGGCUGCUGACGCCGCAGUCGAGAAGCUCAAAGCGACAGAUAAGGAUGAUGUAGUGGCGUAUGCUCAGGCACAGGAGCACGUAAAAAACUCGUCAGUGACUGCCUUCAAAUCGGUUGAACGUGCGAAGGAAGUGAAGAACGAAGUAGUUACCGCCACAGAGGCAGUCGCGAUGCUCGCUAAACGCGAGGCAGAGGCAGCAUUCCUGGCAUUCAAGAACGCAGAAAUAGAGGGUGUGGAUGGUACGAUAAUAAAGAAAAAGAAGGCAGACGCCGAUGCCGCUUCCUUGACAGCGGUCACGACCGCAGAGCACAACGCCGUGAUGCGUAAGUAUGAAUUCCCCGAGUUUGAUGUCCCACAACUCCCUGAGCUCACCGACUCGGAGAAACGAGCUGCAACAGGGGCCAUUAUCGGCUCAUUGGGGGUAGCUGGACUCGUUGCAGAUGCGGAUCUCGCGAACGCACUCGUGAACAUAGGGGGCGAGGCAGCGAUGACUUCGGCGAUGAUGUUCUUGAUUGCGAAUAACCUCGUUUUCAAGAAGGAUCGGGAUCGUUUCGCGAAGUCGUUCGACUCACGCGCGGACUUCGAACAGUUUUGGCUCUCUGGCAGAGGCUUCGGCAAAGAUUCGUUCGCUUCAGAAGUCUUUGACGAUACGUUCCGGGGAUCCUUCGAUCCCCUCGGUCUUGAAGCGGUCGAGACAGGCACACUGUUUCGCGCUCUGAAAAAACAGGAGAGAGGAAUCACUAAACAAAAAUGCGAGGAUCAGGCCGAUGCUGCAGUGGCAGAUAAGUCUGCCGUGGAAGAAUUUGGAGAAGAUGAGGCGGAUGCAAGGGCGCCCAAAUCUUCUACCGUGUCUAUUCUUGGAAAGGCGUUCAACUCUCUUGGCUCGUCGGUCGUCUCUGAAGAGACUGACCUCGUGACGAUCGAGGGUGCAUUUGACUUUGGAGAUAAGAAAGUACAGGAGGUUAAUACUAAGUCAGGUGUUUCCGGAAAACUUGAAGAGGGCCUUGAGCCUCCUGAAGCCACCACGCCAUUUACAAAGGAGUUGUUACCACUGACGGCCAUAGACGAUCCUGGCUCAACCGUGACUUUUAAUUUCGAGACAAACGCGCCUUCGGCAAAGCUUACAUCGGAGGAAAACGAAAUAGAUUACACUCCCGAGUUUGUGCGUGAGAUAUCUGCCGGUUCAGGCGCAGACGACGAGGUUUUUGACGAGCAGUGGCUUCGGGCACAUGAGGAAAACAAGGCAAGCUCGGUGUUGAAGCGUUACAUGUCCCCGGGCGGGAGUGACACGGUGGCAUACACAAGCUGGAUGCAAAAGAAUAAAGAUAACUUGUCGACUCUGUCGUGGAAGGAGCUUGCUGAGCGGAUGAAGGAAGGCGAAAGUGGAGAUUCGUCUAAGUUGACACGGUAAUGAGAUCAUGUUUGAAAUUGAAACAGACAUUCGAUCGCCACGCAGAAACCCUUAUCUCGAAUGAACUGGCACUGCAAACAGGAAAAGACUGUUUCCUGGUUCUUGACUACAUUUCGUUCUGAACCACUGCCUCCGAUUAGUUCCAGAGUUGUCUCCCCUUUCUGACCCUAAACCCACUGCUGACAUUUACCUCCCCCAAUUCUGAAACGAAGUCCUCAAACUUCCGUAAGUGUACACUUACACGUGUACCUUCGAAGAUACACUGUACACGUAGGCCAACAACCGUUACGGAAGUAGGGCCUACGUGUACGUGUACGUGUACAGCUGUAUAUUAUAUUAUAUACGUACUUCCGGAACGUCGAUAGAUAGAUACCUUUCGAAGGUACGUGUAGUCUUAUUAGCUACCAAGGUAGAUAUUACUUCCGGAAGUACCUUCGAAGGUACGGAAGUAUACCUUCGAAGGUAGGUAGCUAGCUAGCUGGUCUAUGUAGGGCUAUUUCUAUCUUCGAAGGUACUUUAAGUUGGAAGAACUCAUUUUUUCGUGUACUGAACCCUAAACCCUGCGAAACGGAAGUAGUACGAAGGAAGUACUUCUGGAAGCACUUCCGGAAGUGUAAAUGGAGAUACUGUAGCUCUAUCGCGUGCUUGAGAACUACUUCCGUACCUUCGUACGAAGGUAGCUAGCUAGCUGCCGAACGAACGAAGGUACGGAAGUACACGUACCAGCAGUUACUAAAGUACGCCGUUUAGCGUGGUUUACAAGUAUAUAUGAAGUGAUGUCUUCGAAGGUACGAAAGUACCUAAUAAGGUACAGUACCUAGCUAGACCCCAGAGUUUAUCUACAUAUCUAUACCUUCGAAGGUAUCUCGGAGUUACGUGUACUACUAUUUGGGGGGAAGUGCGAAGCGCUUUCUCCCAUCUGGGCUCGCUUCAAGCCUCCGGGAGUGAAAUUUCGACCAAUCACGUGCGUUUUUGGGCACUGCGUCCUCAGUCGUAACCCUAACUUUGAUCGAGCACGCGCUUUCAGAUCUCGCGUGUUUCAUCGGAGUCGUAGUUUCGAGGGAGGGUUCGUAACUCAACGCAUCGUGGCUCUUCCCGCUCGGGCGACGCGCCACUUGCGCACGCGGGCGCGCGCGGGGAGGCGUGGGAUGACUCUAUCCGACGGCACGCCGGGUAACGGCGCGGAGGCAACGUUCGUGACUUGGAGUAUGAGUUUCAAACCACUCUUCCGAUCCAGACCGCCGAACAACGACCCGCACUUCCCCCAACUGACUGACGGCCGAAGCGCCGUACGUGUAUGUACGUGUACGGAAGUACUUUCGUACUUUCGUACGAAGGAUACGAAAUUAUGAAGAUAAACGUGCGUGCUGAAAGUACACGACUAUUUUACUUAUUAUUUACACGUACGUGUACGUGUACACGCAAGUUGUACAGCUAGCUGUACAUAAUAUGUACAGGUACUUCCGGAAGUACUUUCGUACGAGUACAACCUAGUACCUUCGUACAACUACAGUACAUAAAAAAGAUAAACUGAAAAAGCAUAGAGCCUAUCCCGCAGAGAAAAAGUGCUGUUUCCCUCGCGUGCCUGACUGUGGUCACGCGGAAAUUGCGCAUCUACAUGGUCCUACCUGAAAACGAAGUAAUUCUCGAGGCUUCGUCUCGUUGGGUGUACUGCGAAUUUCUGGAAGAUGCGGGGUUAGAGCUGAAAAUGUGGGCAGAUUCUGAUGAACCUUUUUAGCUUUUUACCUUACUUGUGCUGACGUGUUGCAGGCCUCAACUCACAAUCGCUACCGCUAUAGUUUUCUGUCACCGUUUUUACGCAUGGCAGCCUCGAAGCAAAACUCGACUUGAUAUUUUCGUAAGCUUUCUUUUAAUUUUAGCGGAGAUUUCAUAGUUUAUUGAUUACUUUCGCAGAGUAUAGCGACAGCUAGCCUUUUUUUAGCUGGAAAAGUGGAGGAAACUCCUAAGCCUCUCCGGGAGGUUGUGCGCAUCUCCUACCUUGUCCAGUUCAAAAACGACCAUGAAAGAGCAGCAAAGGAAAUCUUCCAAAAGGUGCUUGUGUCCACUUACCAUACUUGUUGUGCCUGUUUUGUGCGCAUUUUUUCAUGUUCUCUGCAGGACUGCUACUUGGAGCGGCAAGAUGACAUACUAGAAGCCGAAAGAAUUAUUUUACACACUCUUGGCUUUGAAUUUAAUGUGGAGCACCCGUAUAGACAUUUGCUCAAUGCAGUGAAGAGAGUGACCAGAGCUCAGACUGUGAAUGAAAGCCUUAGCCGCGGUCUUGCGCAAGUUGCGUGGAAUUUUGCAAAUGACAGGUCGGAGUAGAAAAAGAAUCACUGUGAAAUCUUAUGCUUUAUUAAUCAUUUCCCCAGCCUCACUUCUCCACGAACUUUACAGUCUAAGAACAACUCUAAGCUUGCAGUAUACUGCUUAUGAAAUCGCUGUUUCAGUUCUAUAUCUUGGCAAGGUUCUUGAAGUUCGUCACAACUUCUGCAUUCCCAUUUUUUUUCCGACAGUAGUUUUACUUAUGCACAUGCGAUCGAUCGGGUUGUUUCUCUAUUUUGAGCUUCGAAGCUGAUGUCGACUUUAAAAUUGUCAUCGAAUUGGUUGGCUGACUAUGAAAUAAAACAGGGUGUGUGUGAAAAAAUCAGUCAUCAAAUCAUGGACCUUUAUGAAGAAUACUGAUAAAAGAAUAGUAGAGCUGAGCCUGGUCACAGAUACCUUGGUCAUCAGGUACACAAAUUCUUGAGGAGAAUCCAUUUGAGCCAUUCUCGUUAAUACAUUUCCUAUGAGUGCUCACUUGAUAGCUAAACCCCGAGUAAUGAUACCUGAACCAAGAAACCCAUUCUGCAGCAUGAACGUCCUUUAAAGUUAAUUAGGCCGAGCCAACUCCCGCUGUCGCAAGCGUCGUCUUAACUCCUGACAAAUGAUAGCGUUUGAGAAAAAGUAUGCAAUGACUAAAUCAAGCGGGACCUUUUUGCGUUUUACAACUUCCGAGUAUAAAAUUUCUCUGUACUCCUGGAUAGUAUACUUUGUAUUAUCAUUGAUAGGAAUAGAUAUCACGUGGUUGCAUGAUGGUUCGUCCGCAGGAUUGUGGAACUGCGAUAGGUAUGGGUGACGCAAUGCUGCAUCAGCUAUUAUCCUCUUAUCAGGGUUUAUGUCCAAGAGCUUGUGCAGCAAAUCAAAUGCAUGCUCGCUUGUGUUCGGAAUCAGCUACGGCCAAAAAACAUAGGAAGUGUUGAGAAAGAAAUUGUAGAGAACUGGAGUAAGUAUACGUGUACCUCACGUGUUGUAUUUGAACUUGUGCAUGGCAAUGACUCUAGCAUAGAUUCAGCGAAGGGAGAUUGAAUUGCAAGCAAAUCCUCCUCCGUUGGCUUUCCGGUUAACUACGUAAAGAAAAGGGAAUAAACAUCUAAACAAGAGCACAACAAAAAAUAUCUGUCCCUCACCUGUAUAAUGCGGUCGAGUUGAUUCAUGGUUGACGUUCCGGGGAAAACAGGCUGCCUUCACGAGAAAUAUCAGAAAAUUUUAUCUCAUUCAAAUUAAUUGCAUGGUUUACCCUCGAAAGAGUUCACCCAGAAUGCAACCACAGGACCACAUAUCAACACCAAAAGUAUAUUUCGUAGAACCAAGGAGAAUUUCUGGAGCACGAUACCUGACAAGAGCUACAAUUAUGUCACAAAGUGGAAUGAUCCCACUGACAAUUACCAGCGCGUUGCAACAUAAUCUGUCAAUACUGGCCUGUCAGCUAAAUCCUUAUUCAUGAGAGCCAUGGAGCGUGCAAGACCGAAGUCUGCAACCUUGACUUGGCACUCACUGUUAAGCAGAAGGUUGCUGGGCUGUAUAUUGAGAGUUUUGAAUUGACUGAUCACUUUCAUAAUUAACUUGUAUGUCGAGUUUGAACAGAGUACCUUGAUGUCCCGGUGCAGAAGCUCAGCAGAAUGCAUGAACUUCAAAGCUUUAAAUAACUGAUACAUGAUGUACUGCUUGUGGACGUCCUCAAGGAUAUUGGCUCUGAUGACUGUACACGCCGAAUAAAGAUUCAAUACUUGUAUCAAAAUGAUAUGAUUUGUGGUUUUACACCUGCGUGCAAAUCAGUUUCCAUGUAUUCAAAAAUAAGAUAUAUAUCUCUAUCAUUUUCUGCCUUCAGCACAUUCAGUAGCCUACAACGCACAAAUUCUUUUUUGUGUGUGUACAAAGAAGUCUGAAAACAAGUACCGUAUAAUAUUAUCAUGGUUGUUCACCUCUUGCAAAAACAUGAUCUCUCUAAAUGUUCGCUGUAAUAAACAAACAUGCGAGGUAAGUAUGGAUGAUGUCCAUAAUAUAUAUAUAUAUAUAUAUAUAUAAUAUUAAUACCUGUGCAUCUGUUGAGUUUUGAAAAGCGUCGAAAAUCUUCUUCAAUGCAACCGUGUCUCGUGUUUUCUUGUCAACCGUUUUCCACACUAUACCAUACGCCUGUUAUCAUAGUAACAGCGUUUUUUCAACCAACGUGAUGAUCAGAAAGUGCAACCUGCAUUCAGCUCACCCCCUUCCCAAGUUUCUGUUGUAUUUCGUAUUUCCUCAAGACGUGCCUAUCAAUUUCUUCACCCAUGCUAACUUAAAAAGGCAAAUCUCGUAAAGCCAUGGGGGUGAAGAAAGCUGUAAUUUAACGGAUGCCUAAUUUAGAUCGUCUAGCGAACGAAAUUUACGACGCAGGAGAACACGUCCGAGAGAGUAUCCCAACGUGUGGUCGUGAAGUGCUUUAUUGGACGUGCAGGUAGCCCUAUAAACGUCGAUAGACUAGCUAGCCCAUUGUAAGUUUAUGAUACUUCCGGAAAUAUCAUAUUCUUCGGCGGUAAAAUGUACUUUCGUACCUGUAUCUAUGUGUACACGUACUCGUACAUGUACACGUACGGAAGUACGAAAGUACUUUCGAAAGUACGAAAUAAAGUACUGUAGUUGUACUUUCACAAGAAAUAAUACGAAGGUAAAAUCAGGGUACUAAAUCAGCUUUCGUAAUACGUAGUACGAAAGUACCUUCGAAGGUACCUCGAAAGUACCUUCGAAGGUAGUACUUUCGUACGAAAGUACUACGAAGGUAGCUACUAGUUAGUGUAUCUAAAACUAAUAAAAUACUUCCGUCCAUGCAUGCAUGCAUGCAUGCAUAGUUGCAUACAUCGAUCCCUCCCACUAUAAGAUAUAUAGAUAGACUACAAGAUAGAAUAACUAGCUAGGCGGUAGGGCUACGUGUAGUCAACGCACGAUUGUACCUUCGUAGAUAGCUAGAUAUGGAAAUAAUAGAUACUUCCGGAAGUACAGUACUUCAUCACGUGCGAAAGAAAAAAUAUUAUUAUAUGGAUAAUGAAUUAAAACAACUUAGGGCAGUCUUCGGGCUAUUACCUUCACGUCACAGCCCUACAGAACUUGUUAAUGUAUUCAGUCUAAAUCGCGAAAACGUACGGAAGUACUUUCGUACCUUGAAGGUACGAAAGUACGAAAGUACUUCCGGAAGUACGUGCGUACACGUCACGUUCGUACGCGCCCACGCGUCUCGUUUUGAAAAGGUUGGCUGAAUGGACGAGAGUUGCCCUAAGUCUCGUUCCGAGAAAUUGCUCAUAAAGUACAUAGCUACAUACCUUCGUACCUUCGUAUUUUACAUCCUGAAGUACGCUACGUGUACGUGUACUUUCAAAGUACGAAAGUACUUCGGAAGUACACGUACGAAAGUACGUGAAAACUAUGAGCAUUUUGUAUGAAAGUUCCGCGACCCGAAACCAAAUUAAUUUGCGUUUUUUUAAUUCCCCAUUAGUAUCGCCCGUCAGACGCGCCCCCUCACGUUCGCUCUUCCCCAUGCGUCGCGAUUAAUUUGGCCGAUUACGGGUAGAGUACGCGGCUGACUGAGCGUCAUACAAUUUUCGACUUAGGGCAACUCGUCUAUCGUAGACUUCGAAACACGUCACUUCGAAACGUUUCUCCAACUUGUGUAUUUCACUGAGUUGGAAGCUGACGAUGAUUACCAUGCGGUUGUUUGAGGCGUUUAUGGCGGGUAGCACUGUUGGGGCUGUGUUGGUGUCGAUACUUUAUUCGCGUCGUCAUCAGGUGCCUUCUCGUGUUUUUACGGGUAAACUCUUUCAUACCAGUAGCGCAACAGAUGAGAUCCUAGCUGAGCAUUUCACUCGCAACGUGCAGUUUUUUGGCAGCACGGCACAACAGCGUGUAUCAAGCGUGUUCGUCGUUGUCGUCGGAUUGGGUGGCGUUGGAAGUCACUGUGCGCAUAUGCUCCUUCGCUCCGGGGUGUCACGAAUGCGUCUUAUUGAUUUCGAUCAAAUUUCUCUAUCCUCGCUCAACAGACAUGCAUUGGGCACUCGCCAGGACGUUGGCAGCUACAAGGCAGAGUGUCUCGCGAAGCACUUCAGAAAAAUUUUUCCUGAAGCUCAACUCGAAACUAAAGUGGCAAUGUUUGAAAAAACAGUUGAAGACGAGUUAUUGAAGGGAGAGCCUGAUUUCGUGGUUGACUGCAUAGACAACGUCGACACUAAGGUUGACUUACUUGCUGCUUGUGUGCGGAAAAAUAUAAAUGUGCUGGCGUCUGGUGGUGCCGGUGCGAAGUGUGAUCCUACACGAAUAAAGAUUGUUGACAUACGAGAAAGUGUUGUUGAUCCGCUUGCCCGCGCUGUUCGUCAUCGACUCAAACAGGUUCAUGGUAUUGAAAGUGGCAUACCUGUCUUAUUAUCAACAGAGAAACAACGCUGCAAAUUGGCAAGUUUUGUCUUAUCCUUCAUUUCUUACAAACUUUUCUUUGUUCCCAAAAGUAUAUGUUUUCGGCGUCACGUCACGUUGGCCAUCUAUUGAUGUCCAUAAUAUUUGGUUUCACUUGGGGCAACAGCUGAAACGUGCAGUGCGUCUAUUUUGCAAGACUUUCAGGUUUUGCCAAAUUUUCGCAUAAGGACACUUCCUGUGUUUGGUGCUCUGCCAGCUAUAUUUGGUUUAUCGUGUGCUGCACAUGUUAUAAGUACUUUAACAGGACAAGUACUUAGUUCUGACCCUAUUCUGCAUAUUCACACGAAGCAGUACAAAACGCAAUUUGAAAGGCUACGUGAUAGGGAAGCCAGCCGAGGCAGUAUGAAGAGCUGGGUAAAUGUUGAGCUGCAGGCAAGGGUUUUAACUUUCUUCAAUAUUUCGUGACGAACUAAACUGUCUAUAUUCACAGGAUGUGAUAUACCUAAUCAAGGAUGUUUGGCAAGGUCGCAGUGCUCGAGCUCAAAAUCCGUCGAUAGGUAAAGGGAUGUGGCGAAAUACCUCGGAUUUAUGCUUGACGCGCUGGAAUCCGUCUAAGCCAGCAAAUCUAGAUAACUUGAUUUUACUCUCUUCUGAAGAAGCCGACGCACAUGACGCAGAAGUUUUUAGAAUAUUCGAAACCGAUAACGACUCCGACCAAAUCAAACCGUGUGGUUUUGACUCUUUGGUUGAUCGAGAACCUUAUUUUGCUUACUUCAUUGAGCGCAAACUCCAACGCGUUAGACGCGACUUUGGUUUAGUAAGAGAGUCACCAAAUACUUGCUCUGGCCUAAAUAUACACCUGAUGGAACAAUAAUUUGGUAUCAGGAUAACCUGCUGAAUAUGUUCUUUAUGCGAAAGCUCACUUUAUGAAUAAUUUAGUGCGUCGUUUGCAGAGGUGCCAAAUCAUAAUUUGCAUGUAAUGCGCGAGUACACUUCUUGUUAUUACGCAUAUUCGUUUUCUACACUCAGCUCGGAAAGCCAACAUGUCUUCCAACGUACCUUCGCGUACUUUCGUACAUGCAGUGAGUACGUGAGCAGUACGCAUACGUGUAGUACAACUGAGUACGUACUAGUACAACCCAAAUCAUGAACUGCGCCCAGGCUGCCUCGAAGUGAACGGACGCGAGGUGACAAGGGUCGGGUCAAGUUCAGUGAACUGUAAUCGAGAAUGUGCAGAAAGGAACGAGUGCCAGGUAUUCGGCGAACUGAAUCCGAGUGAGAACUCGGGAAUGACGGAUACCGUAAGUCACAAAACAGGAGCUGAGACAGUGACGAAACUGACAAGACAGCUCAGAACAGUAGUUACAUUACUGACAGUGAACCUGUGUCCAAUAUCAGGAGGAUGAACGAAUCAACCCUACAACUUAUACAGGGCCAAGUUGUGGCGGAGGACGAACGAAUCAACCCUACGGAGGUUCAACCCCCGUGCAGUGAUAAAUCAAUAUUCAUCAAGUGCAUAUACUAAACUCUCAACAGAAGUCGAGAAAACAAGUCUGGAAAAACGCUUUUAAAAA
rnacentral:lncRNA from 1 species